CACAUCAUCCUUGAAAGAGGGAUGUGAAGACCAAAGCAAUGAUAGACAAUUAAGUGUGUAGUUGGUUAAAUUUUCACUAUCUUAGAAUUAAGGUGAUUGUGAAGUUAACUAUACCAUGGGAAUUACCUAGAAAGAGGGAUGCCUGAAUUGAGGAUUGGUUACCAAAUAUUAAACACACCCAUUACUCAUUUGAAAGAAUCAAUGGGUGAAUGUUUGAUGUUUUGUUGAAAAACAAGCAUCAAAAUCUAUUAUCAAACCUACCCAUAUUUGAUUUAAUAACUUAAUGUUGAUUAUUAACACUCACAUGUGUUUCCCUUAGUAAUGCAUAAUCCCAUGAUCCGUGCAUAAUUGUUCAAACUGUAAUUAUUAGUAACCCUAAAUUUAUACUAGAAAAACCCUAAAAAAUAAACAUUAGUAUUGAUACUUGUAUCCCCUAUUUUUUUCCUCGUGUACCACUGAAUUGAAUUUUACUUGUAUCUAUUAUUUUGAAUUAACUUGAUUACCACUCACAUUGUUCCUCGUGGAUUCUACCCUGACUCCAAAGUUGGGUAAAUAUAUUGAUGACUACUACCUUCCACUUUAAUUGACUAGUAAGUUGAGUGUUAUCACAAUGACCGGAUCUCUUACCAUUGUAGAAACAGAAAAUGAAUCCAAAAUAAUCUUUGGAUAAAAACUAAAUGACACAUCUAUAUAAGGAGUCAUUUAGGAAAGGGUAGAUCCCAAAUCAAUUAACAAAUAUACGUUAUGAUAGAAACAUUGUAAUUUAGCAGUAACAACAUCAGGCGAUGCUGGACAGUAACCAAAGCAUAUACUACACCACCGGCUAUAGGAACAGAAGAUGAAUCCACCAAUAUCUUAGUCGCCCUCAUAGCAACCUUGUUAGAAAGAUAAUGCCUGAGUUGAUGGCCUAAUUGGACAGACUUGAAGAAAUUAUCCCUUUCCUCCUCACAAAAUCUUUGGUGAAAAUGAAGGCAAAACUAACAAGGAGGACACGAAGAAAUAGACUGACCUCUGAUUGUCUGAGACUGGUAUCCCUGCGCCUAAGAAUUGCAACCACCAUGAAGAUGCCUGUCACUCGACUGCUGGGGGUAAGGAGCACUGGUAGAAGAGAAAGAACCAUAACUCCCCCACUUAUUUUUAUACAACUUCCCACCGUAUCGACCACCCUAAGACUGGGCACCUCUUUGAUUAGAAAAUCUGCCCCUCCUACCAUGUCUUUCUCUAUAUUAUGCCUGCCUUCUCUUAUUAUCCUCAACCUGCUGCAUACGAAUAGUCAGCCUCGACAUGUCUAUAUCCUUCAUGAGAAAAAUGGUUUUGCUCUCCAAAAUUAGAUCCCUGUUCAGCCUAGAAGUAAACUUCCCCAUUCUUGACCUCAUAUUAGCCACCAAAUCCGGAGCAUACCUCGACAAUAAAUGGAACUUCAAAAUAUACUCCUUCACAAAUAUUCUCUCUUUCCUUAGGUUCAUAAACUCCUCCAUAAUAUCUUCCUUCAACUCUUGAGGAAAGAAUCGAUCCAUGAAGGUAUUAGAAAAGACCUCCCAUAAACCAUCCUCUUCUACAUCGCCCUUAACUCUGUCCCACUUGACGUACCAUAGAUAAGCAACCUCUUUGAGCUGAUAAGCUACAAAUUUAACUUCUUCCACAUUAGUAGCCUUCUUUACCUAAAAGAUGUUCUAAAUAUCAUCAAGAAAGCCUUGUGGGUCUUCCUCCACCUUCACUCUCAUAAAAUUUAGAGGACCCAUAUUCAUAAAUUUUCAAGCCUAGAGGCCACAAUAGACAUGACACUAGUCGUACCCUGCUUGGACUGAGCAACAACCAGUUGGGAAAUAACAUACAUAGACUGACAAAACUCUGCAUUGAUCACGUAUCCCUGAGGGACCAAAGGAGAAAUAGAAGGAAUAGAAGGAACUCCGUUAUAAUAAAGAAUACGAUCAUGAGAUCAAGGAUCAACCCCAGGAGUAAAACAUGCUCCCUCAGCAUCACUUUCAGAAGGAGCAGAAGAAUUUCCUUGUGCUCUAGAUCUUAGAGGCAUGAUCUAAAAGAUGAACAAACAAGGAUUAGAGGAUAUUCUAGGAUUGAGAAGUCAAGCUUGAAGAAAGAAUACCAAGAAAGUGAAACAUUCCAAAAUGUCUCGUAGCCUUUCCCUUAUGAGUGUGGUGUGCUACACACCCCUAAAUAAGACUCUACUCCACACAGCUUUAUGGACUCUCAAUUGACAAUGAACUUAGGUUUUGAUAUCAACUUGAUGCAUCCCAAAUGAAGGCCUUCUCAUAAUGGGUAUCCCAUGUCCAACCAGGACCGGGGACCGACCCCUUAACCAAACCCUACCACCAUAUAUAGCCUUGGAAGAGCUGAAUUUAGAGCAUAUAACAAGGUUACCUAAUGCUCUCAUGAAGUCUCUAGAGAGGGUCACAACUAUGACCGAUCCGCCCGAGUCUAACCAUACCAAACCAACCAUCGAUACCUUAUCAAAUCAUUUGGAAAAUAUCAAACAUACUAUGAUUAUCAAACACAAAAUGUAAUAUGACGGAACAACCAACAAUACCAUCCAAUGAUGUAAGAACCAAUACCAAUGCCAGUGAUAACGCCGACACUAAUACCGAUCCUACCCAUACCAACCCUAUGAAGUACCAUAAAGAGUCUAUCCAAAAAAAUACAAAUAUCUGGUUGGGACAUGCCUCCAACCAUGGCCAAAACCAAUAUUCAAAAAGAAAGUAAAAUUUCUAAGAAUAUCCAACAUAAAAUGAUGCCUUUCGAAAGGAUGGAAGCUCACCACUUCAUUCUAAUAAGUUGUCCCCAAAUUAAGUACUUUGAAAGGGUAGUUGAACAACCAGUUCUUGUAUAACGUAGGUAUAUGUCUGCCAGUAGAUAGGUUAGUGGGUGAACACUAGCAUGAAACAUAUGGAUAAGGAUAAAGUAACAUCAUUUAUGAAAACCAAGUGAAAACCAUUAAUUACAACAGCCAUACCUAUAUAAAAGUGCUCGGAAAAGGGACUAGGUUUAGUAUGCCAUUAAAACAAUACCUAGGUUGUGUAGCUUAGCUGUCCUACCACCCAUGGGCCAUAUGGGUUCAGCUCCCCAUACUAAAAGGGUUCUAGUCCGUUUAGCUGCAUAGAUGUCUAGUACAUCCCUCUAAUAUAAAUUUUACACUCACACGUGGCAAUUAAAGAACCUUCAUAUCGGUAAAUAUGAGUUUUGGGUUUUGAUCCCCCCAGGACAGCUACCUUCCAUGGCUUAGCUUACACUCCCCACCAUUAAUGCCCAAUUAAAACCAUUAAAAAACAAUCCAAUUAUCCAUUUACUAACCAAGGAUAUUCAAUAAACCAGUGGUAUCAUCAUACCACUAUACUUGUAAGCAUCAUCCAUAGCCAAACCAUUUAGAUUAAGGGGACAUUCAAGUGCCCUGUCACUAGCCAUAUUAAACCUCUUAGAAGACAACUAUAUUCUCUACAAGCACGACCAAUUAGCCAUUAAUGUUUGUAAACCCAUGAAAAACAUUUAUGGUUUUAUAUAUAAGAUGAAAUACAAGAAAGAGUUCCAUUAAAAUAAGUCAAUGCACUAAACAUAUCUUUCUAAGCUCUUUAUCAAACACCUUAGGGUAUAAUAUAACCAAAACAAAAUUCCAUUACCACUAAACUAUUACCAUGCAAUUCUGGUAAGUGGUGGAAUUUCUAGAAUUCCCCCACUUAAAUCCCAUAAAAACCCAAAAUGAGAUCACAACUGACCCACUUAUGAGUCAUAACCUCUCUUACAGUUGAUACCCAACCGAUUAUAACUAAGCCUGAACCAUGGAUCAGAUAAUGUCUAGUAUAUGAUUCAUAUACCUAAGUUGUAACCUCAAUAUAUGAUCCUGUAUCCCUGGAAGAAUGUAACACCAGAAGGAUCAAACACUGUCUUCCUUAUGAGUCACCUAUAUGAAUCAUACCCAAUAAUACAACACUCAUCCCUAAGUCAUAUCCAUUCCAAUGAUCUAAACCAUUCCACUAACUAACACUGGUUAAUUUCCAAUAGGACUUCACUACUCGUACCCUAGUAUAAGGCUCGUACCAUAAGUCAUAUUAGGUCUGAAGAAUGGGAUUCUAAGAAAUUUUCUAUGGUUCCAAUCCCGGGAUGCUUCAACCAUAAUUGUCAUUAUUGGCCAGACAUGAACCAAAAUUAAUAUUAUCAAUAUUGUCAUCAACUAUUGGACUCAAACUAGAACUCAUGUUAUAAACCGUAACAACAAACCAUAUCAACAAGGCAUAUUGAUAACUAACUUAAUAGACAAUACCAAUAAACUAUAACUAUAGACCAUCCCUAUUACAUAUACCUAUACGUCAGACUAAUAAUUACAACCAUAAGUCAUAUCGAUUCCUACACUCAUAAACAACACUAAUACCUCAUCAAUUAAAUCGUGACAACAACUAUGCUCAUAAGUAAUGUGAAUAGUCAUAUUCAUAUGUUUUUCAAAAUUCAAAUUUAUAAUCCAUUAAUCAUAUCUCUAAGCAAUUAUCUUAUUGGUAAUCCAUUAAUCAUAUCUAUAAACCAUAUCAUUAAUCGCAUCGAUAUGUAUAUUAUUAAGCAUGUUAGGCCAUAUCAUUAAUCAUAUUUAGAAGCUAAUCAAUAAUCGUAUAUAUAGGACAUAUCAUAAGUCAUAUGUACGAGUAAUAUCAUUAGUGUAUAUAAGAAACAUCAAUUGUAAUACCCCAAAAUUAGCAUCAAUCUCUCAGCAUCCAACUAACAUACUCAUUCAAUAUAUUCAAUCUCCUUUAGUCCAAAACUAACAUCAAUAAGGACAUAUCAUGCAUAAAUUAUUCUAUAAAAGCUAACACAAGUCUUGGCCUAAGGUGGGCCAGAAAGGCCCAUUUCUAAUCCCCAAAAUCAAUUUUAAACAACUUCUCUCCCAGAGUAGGCUAAGGUAUCUAAAUUCAUUUUUUUAUGUUAAAUAAGCCAUAUAUUGCCCAAGGAUAGUAAUUCUUCCCAAAAGAUAAAAACUAAGUCAAUCCCACCUAAAAUAAUAGUAACUAGGGCAAUUUCCCUAAAUUUAAGCAACUAAGGACAAUUUUACCUAAAACAAGAGUAACUAAGCUAAUUACUCCUAAUUUACAAUUUUAAGAUAACCGAAAUAGUUCAACUAAUCCAAAUAUUCUCAAUCAAUUUCCAAAACCUAUAACCAACCCUAAAUCUAGCAUAAGAUUAUAAUCAUACUAUGAGAUAGCUCAAUCUAUGAAAACUGUAAACCUAGCCUACCUCGACGCUGAAGAAAAACCCAAAGAAUUUGCUAAAUCAUAAUUUUCCUUUUUAAGAAGCUUUCACAAGGUGCCACACUAUCAAAAUAUCAAUCUACUCAUCACUAUAAGAACAAUAAAACCCAUAUUUCACUAUUGUGCUUCUAGUCCAAAACUACAUAAAAAUCCCAUAUAGGGACCUUUUAUGAAAUUUCACUUUCAAAACAAGCACAAUGGCCAUCUAUGCUCAAGGAACAUUUAUCCUCAAAAAUGGGUGAAUUUAGAGCUUUAAUGGUUAUAAUUUAAGCCACCAAGAUUCUAGGGAUCAUACAAAAAGAUAAAAUGGUUUAAUCCCAAAAUAGAUGGAAGCUUGCCAUAAAUAUGAAGGAGGAACAUGUAAAUAAUCUAUACCCAAACUCCAAAUCACCCACAAACGUUUGUCCUAAGUUCCCAUAUAGUUUAGGGUUUUACUCUCAUGAGAGUGGGAGAAUAAUGGUGAAAAUUGAGCUAAGUGGGGUAGUUAGAUCCUUUUUAAGUGUAUGGAUGCCGUGAAUGCAGACAAUGGGAUGCUUUAGCAAUUGGUGCUAAAGGACCUAGUUUACUGCUAAAGAGGUCCCCCUGACAUGGUAGCCCUCUAAAGUUGACCUUGGGCUACUUUAGUGCUAGACGUUAAAGUGAUCUGGUACCGCUAAAACGGUAACCAUUAGCUAAGCUAGGGCCACUAAAGUGCCCAAUGGGCCACAAAAUGACCAAUGGGCCACUAAAGCACCCAAAAGACCAGUAAAGUAGUCACACCAAAUAUCAAGCACCAGUUAGAGACUUAGAAUUAUUUUGAGUCUCUGCAAACCCCUCUAGAUUUAUCUAAAAUCUCGCUUACGUAAACAAAAUAUUAUACCCUAUCAAAUUUGAUGUUCCAGACUCAAUGGAAGAAUAAAAAUUUCUUCUUGAGGUUGUUUCUAUGAAAAGCAGACCCACACCCACUUUUUAUUUUUCUUAACUUCCGACCAAUAACCUAAAAUAUGUCUGAAUCCUAGUGACUGGAAAUAAGGGUCCACCAAAUAUAAAAUUGAUGCUCUGAAGAUUUUCAAACUGUUAGAAUUAGCAUACAAGGUCAUUUAUAUAAUGAACCUUUAGGUUAUUUUUCAUAUUUCUUCUUAUUUUUGUUGUUAGCGAUUCUCUAUAUCUGCCCCAUGUCAUCUAUGACUUGAAGGGACUGACAGUACGAUUAGCAUAUAGUUUGUUUUGUUUUUAGAGCUAUUUUUCAAUUUUGAAGUCUUCGAUUGUUCCAAAAUACCACUAGGAAAAAAUUUUAGUCAAACAACCUUGAAUACAAAUUUAAAUGUUCCAUCUAUGUGGACCUUUGGUUCGGCUCCCGAGGUACCCGAUCUCAAUUUGACCUAUUGAUCAAAAAGUUAAGAAAUUGGAAAUUAGGUGUGGGACCCAUAUUUCAUUGAAACUACCUUAGAUGGAAAUUUUGAUCGUACCUAGUAGAAUUCUAUUCUGGACUUAAAAAUGUUAGUACAUCAGGUAUCUGGUGUGAUUACGAUCAUGUAGGAUAAAUUGCUAUUGACAUAUAUAAUUUACCAUGUGUGCCACAUCGCUAUUAUGAAGGGUAAAUCACAAUUGCCAUAUACCAUUUCCCCUUUGCUAGUAUCACAAUCGUGAUAGGAAAUGCCAUGAUUGUAACUUUUUCUCCUGAUGCUAUGGAAUAUGAUUACGAGUUUCAGGUUUCGAUAGUGGCACCGAAGAACUUGGAUUGGGUAUAAAUACUUAUUUUACACCUUUUUUUCCAUUCCUUCAUCCGUUAUCUUGAGUCUAAAACCAUAAAGGGUGAGACAAAUUGAAAUUAAGGCUUGUGGGUGAUUUAGGAGUUUGGGUAACAGUUGUUUAUGCAAUUAUCUUCCAAUUAUGGUAAGGUUUCACCCUUUUCAUGGUGAAAUUUUCCAUUUUUUGUUCGAAAAUCCCAAAACCUUGGAGGGUUGAUUUUAUCCCCAAUUAGAUCAUAUUUCACCUAUUCUUAAGGGUAAUGAAUCCUUAACCUUGAGUAAAUAUUGGGUUGGUUUUGGAAUCAAGAUUUUCGUAAAUGGUACCCACAUGGGAUUUUUGGUGAUUUUUGGACCCAAACCCAAAUAGUGCAAUAUAUGUAUUAUUAUUCUAUUACUGGUAAGUAGAAUGAUAUUUUGAUAGUUUGACAUCUUGAGAAAGCUUUUUAAAUGGAAAAGUGGUGAUUUAGCGGAUCUUCUAAGCUUUCUGUGCCACCUAUGUAGGCUAGUUUUUAUCCCUUCUCAAAUUAAUCUAAUUCAUAGUAUGUUGAUUGUAUUGUGUUAGAUUUUGGAUGGGUUUUAGGUUUUGGUGUGACAAAUUUCAAUUUAUUGGUUAGUUGGACCAUUUAGGCUAUUUUAGAUAUUAUUUUGGGCAUAGUUAGCCUAUUUAGUCAUAUCAUAGGUGAAGUUGACUUUGUAGGCUCUUGUUUAUGAUAAAAAUAACUUAGUUUCUCUAUCAAUGAGUAAAUUGCCUUAGUCAUUUGAUUUUAGGAUGAAACUUACGAAAUUUCUAUUUACCUAGGUGAAAUUGAUAUAGUUGCUCUAUACUGUGAGGAAUUUCUGUCCUAAGGUUAGUUAGGACUUGUUCAACAUCUAAUAGUGAAUUUAGAUAUCUUAGCAAAGUACAGGGUAGAUAUUACUUGAUAAAGGCCUUUGGAGAGUUAGAAGUGGUCCAUUUCACUUAACUUAGGGCAAGACUUGUGAUAGUUAUUGAAGUCCAUUUAUACACUUUAGUAUAUCUAGGAAAUAUUUAUUGUAGUGACAUUUAGAUGCCUUGGUACUUGUAUGUUGUGAUAGAAGAUAUUAAAACUAAUGUUUAAUGAUUGUGCUAUGAGUGAGUUAUUGAUUAAGCUUAUGAUGGUCUGUUGAAUAUGUUAUUGUUUGAUCUAUUUAAUAAGCUAUUAAAUAAGACCUUGAUUAUGAAAUUGAUUAAGCCAUUGAUUAGGCUAUUGAUAAGUGAUAUGCUAUUGAUAAAGUUAGUGAUUAUAUUUAUUGAUUAUGCUACCAAUUGAUGAGUGGUGAUUUUACCACUCAUUUUUACUCAAUUUUCGUGCAACACUACAAGGUUUUGUAUAACUAUAUGAGACAUAAUCGUGAUUUAAUGCACUAAUAUCCAAAUUUUAAAGGCAUAGAGUUGGCAAUAAUAAAAGAUGUGGAUUAAAUCUAAAAGAGAUAAAGUGGAAGCAAAUAAGUGAAGCUGAAGACCUGGAGCAGUCAUCAGCCCCAGUUAACAUGAUUGAGGGCUAAAGGACGUGGUCACGGUCAGUCAAGAUAGUCAAUAUAAUGCGAUCACAAAACCAUACCAGGAUCGCAUUAGCUGCUAUCAUGGACAAACUCAUGCCAUCGCAGCUAAGCAAUAAUACUGCCUGGGAUAGUUUUUUAAUUUCACUUAGCCAAAUCCUAAACCUUAUGUAGGCAAAAACCCUUUCUUCUUUGGGUAUUGCUUACCUCAUAGAUAUUUUUGAAUUUGAAACAAGAACCCAAAUUGGGAAACAUUGUAAAUAAUUAUGGAGACUUGAAUUCUUAAUGUUUUAUGAAGAAAUGGAUGCUUUGGAUAAUCAUUAUAGUAUAUCUUUCUCUACUUUCUUCAUGAGUAGGUAAGUAAUUUAGUCUUGAGAUUAUCUUGAACUAAAGUGUAUUUGUUUGUGGGUAUUGAUGUGUUUACACGAUUUCUAGUUGUUGAGUAUGGAUUUCACCAUUGCUUGAGUUUAAUAGUUUGAAUUUUGCGGGUGAAAUCCUAAAUCUCCAAAUGGGAUUGACAGGUGAAAACCCUAAAAUCUAGAAACCUUCAUCAUCCUUAAAAGAGAGAUGUAGGUGAACCCAUGGGAGCCCAUAACAUCCUUUAAAAAGGUCUAUAAGUGUAAAAGGUAAUGGUGGAUAAUUAAGAAUAUGGUUUACUACCUUCUGCAAUCUGAGAAAUAAGUGUAAAUAAAGUGUAAGUCAUGACAUGGGCAUCUUCCUAGAAAUAGGGAUGGCUGGUUGAGGUAUUAGGUGACAAUGUAUGACCCACUGAUUAGGUGCUCAAAAGAGAUAAUUGGUGAAAUCUUUGAGGUUUAGUUGAAAAACUAGCAAAAAAGACUUUUGAUCUAGCCUAUCUCUCACUUAACAACUAGAUAUCAUGAUGAACCAUCUCUAACCUACACACUUUAUACAUUUAUGAAGACAUAAUCCCAAGAUUAUCCCCAAACUUGAUUUUCUCAUUAGAAGUAUCAUUUUAGCUUGUCAUAACUCAAUAAUUGAUACAAACCAAAUCCCCCCACUUUUACUAUAUGUUGUGUUUGCUUGCACUCUUGAUAUCCUUUUAGUAAUUAGAGCACCCAAAGGAAUCAAAAUUUGUAUUUUACUCCUUUUGGAUUCGACCCCAACACGAGUUGGGAUAUUGAAAAUGACCUCCUUACCCCUAAACAUGGGAGUACGUUGAGCGUUAUAAAAAUGGUGCCAUUUUUAGGGAGUGGAAUAUAGAUUUCACUUGUGCGGUAUGAUUUUUAUGUGGGCAUGCUCGGGUGGUGUGAUUUACUUUCUUUUUUGUUUUUGAUUUUUUUAUAUGUGAUCAUAGUGUUAAAGUAACAACAAGUGACAAUGCUGGUAACAUUGGGCCCUUUGAUGUUCCACUUGAUGACGAGGGACAAUUCAAUAAUGCGGGCCGAAUGAGUGCAAUCCAUAUCCCACCAACUAAUGGGAAUUAUGUUUUCCAUGUAAUUAGUGUUAUGUUACACAUGCUACAAAUGUAAGGGCUAUAUAGUGGUCAAGCAUAUGACCACCCCAAUGUUCACUUGAAGAAUUUUUUGGAGCUGUAUGCACUUUUCAAUAUCACACACAUCACUUAAGAGUCUAUUCAUCUUUUCAUUUCUUGUUCUCUUUAAUGUGCGAGGCGGUGUUGUGGCUCCAUUCACUCCCACCCAUUCAAUUACUACUUGGGAUGAGCUUACCAUGAUUUUUCUUAAUCGAUACUUCCUACUAUGAAAAUGCUCCUAAUGUGGGAUGAGAUCAUUAAUUUUAGGCAAUUGAGUGGGUAACCAUUGUUUAAAGUAGGGGAAAGAUUUAAAGAAAAAUUAGAGAAAUGUCAAAAAGACCAGGUCUCGUAGAAGAUGUUUCUCCAAAUCUUCAACCGAGCCCUCGAUCUAAUGAAUGAAACCAUGGUGGAUAACGUGGUGAGAGGUUCCCUAGUGAAGAUGCACUACUAUGAGACAAUUCAGUUAUUAGGAAAGGUGAUGGAGAAAAAUCAGGGUUGGCAUAUCUGAGAUAGCAAAUUUCCCAAAAUCUCUCCCUCUAUAUCCAUGAUUAACAAAGAACAAACAAAGCAGGAUGAGGCAAAAGAGGAGAAUAUGGAAAAAAGGAUGACACAACUUGUGCUCUUGAUAAAUCAUAUUAUAGGGGCACUCACGAAAGCAGUAAAAGCCCUAGAAUCUGAGUCCUAUGAGGAUGAUGAGGAGGCCAAAAGUUUGGAUGAAGUGCUAAAAUAUUUAGUAAACUAUUUAAGGGAUUCUCACCCUUCCUUUCAAAGUCGUGGUGGGAAUCAAGGUUGGAUGGACCAUGAGCGUGAUAGGGAUUGGUGGGAUAGAGAGAGUGUUUAUGACUGCUAUGCUCCCCCUCCCCCAAUGAUAGAGCUAAGAAUAAAGUUUCAAGCUCCAUUGACCCCAAAAAGUUCAAGACCAAGGAUGUUUCAUCACGAAUUUGUAAUAGGGUAGAAGGUACGAACAAGAUGGUCCAUAAAUUUAAAGGUGGAUUCUAUCAAAUCCCUCAAACUGUGGUGGCCCUCACUGCUUCUAUCAAGAAAUUGGACGUGUAAAUUUGGAAAAUCUCUAUGUAAUUAAAUGCUAGGUCUAGAGUUACAAUCCCUAGUGACAUGGUUUCUAAUCAAAAGAAUGAUGCUCAAGUUUUAGCAAUCGUCUCUAGAAGUAGAAAGACACUUGAUGAGCACUUGAAAAGUGACUCGAGUGGGAAAAUGCCUAAGACUAAUCCAAAGGAGGUGUUACCUCAAAAUCAAGAAGAAAAAGAUAAGAAAUAUGGAGAAGAAGUGGUUAAAGCUAAAAAUCCAUAGACUGAAAGAAGGCCUACAAUCAAAGUUCCUUCACCAUUCCCUCAAUGAUUCCAAAGAAAAGAGGAGGGUGAAAAGUUAAAAAAACUUCAUGUCCAAGCUUAGAAAUAUAUCCAUAAACACCAUUGCAUGAGGUGAUUCAAGAGAUCUAAAUAUAUACUAAGCUAAUGAAGAAAUUGAUGUAAAAAAAAAAGCUUAUCAAAGGUGACAGCAUUAAAGUCACCCAUCAUUGUAGUGUUAUCGUGGAUAGUAAGUUUGUUGAAAAGAAAGAUAAUCCAGGAUCUUUCACAAUAGAUCUUGGUGGAAUCAUCAACCUCAUCCCUUUUUCAUCUAUAAGAAGCUUGGUUUUAAUGCCCCUACCUCAACCUCUAUGUAACUUUUAAUGGCAGCCCAGUCUAUCAAAAGGACUGUGGGAAUUUUAUAUAAUGUCCUAGUUAAAGUGGACAAGUUUAUACUUUCGGCUAACUUCGUGGUCUUGGAUUUUGAAAUGGACCAAGAGGUACCUAUCAUCCUUAUUCAUCCCUUUUAGACACCAAAAGUGUCAUUGUCAACUUAGAAAUAGGAGACAUGAAGUUUAGGGUGCAAAAGGAGGAUGAAGUUUUUUUCCAGGUUUGUAAGAUGAAUAAUCAAUCCGUGGAGCUUCAUCUUGUGUCUGUGGUAGAUAUUGAGAUUGAGAAGGAAAAAUAAAGGGGGCUUGAGGACCCACCUUAAGAAUGAAAGAAGGGAAGACAUCGUUCUAUGACGUUAAAUAUGGCUCUGUGUAGGAGGCAACCCAUAAAUGCCAAGAAAGUGGAUCGUAUCCUUUCUUUAUAAUUUGUAGUUUAGGUUUUGAUAUUUUAAUAACUCAUGAAUUUGUGGAACUAUAGAGUGCAUUGUCUGAGCAUAAAAAAAAAGAAAGUGUUAAAUUUUAUUAUUAAAACUGAACAGGGGAAAUAACUCAAUCUGUGAAUUGAGAUAAAUUAGGGAAAAAGGGGAGUAAAAAUGCUCUUAGUUACCACAAUCGUGGGCCCAUGGUCUCGAUCACGAUCUCCCAUGUGCCUGUGUUCAUGGUUACUUAACCACCACCACAGUUCCUUCAAUAAUAUGGCUAGCCGAAUCCCCUAUUUUUCUUACACUCCUAUUUCAAAUCUUACUCUAUAAUUAGAAAAAAGUCUAGCAAAGUUUGUGAGCUCUCCACCAACAUCCUUGCAAUCCUCUUGCAUCACAAAUCUGGUAGGUGCCUUGAAUUCAUGCUUUGAUUUUAAAAGUAGGCCAAAGAAAGGAUGAUGUAUAAAGGGCCUAAGUCUUUAGUUCUCAUGUUUUGAUGUUUUCAAACUUGGCAUUUGUAUGUUUUUUAGAUGCUAAAUUAUUGUGUGAACACAAGUGGAGAAGUCUUGAGUACCUAAAAAUAUGUGUGAAAUGGUGGGUGCACACCAAGUGUUUGAUAUAUCGCCCAAAUAAGUAUUCAAUAAUGGUUAUUGCAUUUAAAAAGGCAUAAUCGAGCACCUAAUGGCUUUGUUCAUUGGUGUUAAUAUGAAUCCUUAUUGUAGAACAUACUAGUGGUCUAAAAAAUUUCAAAUAUUGAACAUGGAAAGCUGGUGGUAACUAGUGUUAGUUACUAUGAUCGCGGUAAUUGGACUGUGAUUGUGUCAGCAUUAAUGUGGUUAUGGCUCACGAUUAUGGUAACCGAGGGUAAUUUUCUUCCAGGCCCAAAAUUUUCCACUCUAAAUUUAUAACCAAACACCACCAAGAACCCAUUCAAUAAGCUUUAGUAAACAAUGUGGAAUAUUUUGUGCUUAAAAAUGUCAAUGAUUAAUGUCAUUUGUUCCUGUACUUUUAGGAUAAUCUCAUGGAAAAGUAUGAUCAUAUUUAAUUAAUGGCACUCGAGUUCCAAGGACAAAGAUGCUUCUGGAGAAAGGAAUUUGGUUUGAAAAUAUGCCAGAAAAACUCUCAGCAUUCCAUGACAAGUAUGAAGCGACAGGGUAGUGGUAUUUUUCUCUGGAUCCAAGAAAUGUAAAUGAGCAAUGGGUUUAUGAAUUCAAUCCCAACAUUAGAGAAGUUUCUUUAUAGAAUCCAUCCAACAUGACUAUUAAUAUCCAGGGCCCAAUAAUGCGCUUUAGGGAAAACUAAAUUAAUGAUGUUUACCAGCUCGCGUAUGCAGACAUAGGUAAGUUUAGAGUAAAAGGGUGUAAGUCAAAAAUUUGGUUGGCAGAAAGAUUGCAUCUCAGAAGGAAGUCUCAUGGAUGAAGAAAAAAGCAACAUCUCCCUGAAUGACUUCACUUUCGAGGCUCGCAUUUGGUUGCACAUUAUAUGUAGCCGAGUCUCCCCUUGUACCCACAUGACAGCAGUUCCAGAUCUGUGUGCUUGAAUGGUUUCUUGUCUUUAAGAUGACAUUCUUUUUGAUAUUAGUCAGCUCGUGGUCAAUAAAAUGGACCACUUUAAGGACCAAUAUGGUAUGUAUCUCUUUUUUCCCUCAUAAAUUACUGAGCUUUGUGGGAGAACGGAGGUUGAGGAGUAUGCUAGAGAUACUUGGGUGCUCCCUAGUCCCCUAUCAACCCUUGGAGGAUUCGAGGGAAGGGCGCACCUGACAAAGAAUAGAAGUGAAAGAUCGACUUGGAAAGUCAUCAUUUACUAAGACUGAGUUCUAUAGGCCAUCCCCUAUUAGUCUUCUUGAGGAUAUUGGAGAUGAUAUUACUACCAUUAGGGAGCUUGUGUCUAGUUUUCCCCCAGGACUUGGAGAUCCCUUCACCACUCAUCAUUUAAAUAUGUCACCACCCAAUUAUAAAAAGUAUAGAGAGUAUCAAAAGACGUAGGAAUCUACCAUGGCUAGUCUUCAGAAAGCCUACUCAUAUUUGGUGGAAUCAUAUUGAGAUCUCUGAAUUAUGCAUAAAAAGAUGGUUAUAAAGGAAAAAAAGAGGGAUUGGUUUUUUAAAAUGAUGUGGAAGGGGAUGAAGGUCCUAUGGAAUAUUCUAAAAUCCUGAGAUAGACUUCCUUUCUCCUGGGUGGAGAGUGAUGAUGAGGCCCUGACCGAUUGGUUCGAUCUUGAGGAAAAUAAUGAAGAUGCAGAGUCUCAAAGUGACAACAUCCCUUGAUAUUAUUUGAAGGAGCACCCUUAUCUGUUUUAUCCUUGAUUAUUUAGGCAGUGGGUACACUUAUACCUUUUUAGUUGGGGUGCCUGUCUCCGUAUUCAUUUGAUUUGGGCUUGUAUUAUUGAUAUUUCUAAAUAUUAUUUUGCUCUUUUAGUUAGUUCUUAUUUUUAUUUGGGUUUUAAUAAUUAGGCACUCUUACGGUUCCUAUAUUUUCAUGGAUUAGUUACUUUGAUUCUAGAUUGUUGUUUUAAUUAAUUUUGGUCAUUUGCAGAGCUUUUCCCUAUGAUAGACUAAGUGGCGACAAUCUUAAGAGGACAGCUUCAUGAUUGGAUUUUAGUCAUGGAUGCAGGGAAAGUCUGAAUACCCCUAACAUCAAAGUCACAAAGGUAAGAAAAGUUUAAGUACCUAUGGCAUUGUUGAUUUUGGAUCAUAUUCAUACCUAUUAGAGAAGUCUGAGUAGCCAUAUUGGUAGGUAGAUUAUAUUAAAACCUCAAUGUGAGACAAGAGCUUUGAUUUUUGACAUGAUUAACAAAUUAUGCAUGGUGCGAAUGCAAGAAAACACAACUCCUCUCUUCAAAAUUUUUGCAAAAUUCUAGGGCAUAGACAUGAGCAGCUUUGUAACAAAACUUUUCCACCUACUUUAAUCCAUUGGAAUUUUUUUUGAUAAAAACAUUGCAAGGUGUGACCCUUCUAUUAUCCUUAUUUUGAGCCCUAUCCUUCUUUAACUUAAAAAUAUAAUUUGAGAAUAUAAACCUAAGUUGGGGGGGGGGGGGAGAAAGUUGAAAGAAGUGUCGUUGGUCAAUGAAUUCAUAAAAAGUGCUGACAUGUUUAAGAAAAUAAAUAUAAAUGAUUAGAAGAAAGAAAGGAUCCAAAAAAUAAAGGAAAUACAUGAUUUAUGAACAAAAAAGUGAAAGAGAAAAGUGGAAGAAUAUGGAAAAAUGAAGAAAGCCAAUGUAGGCACAAUAGCGAAAGAAAUGAAGUGGCCCAAUAUCAAAAUUUAUAGAGUGUGUUGUAGAAGUUCGAAGAUGGUUUAGCCUUAUUAUCCAAAAUUAAUAUCCUACCCAACCCUAAACCUACAUUAUAAGCUUAACAAGGUUUUCAUGAUUCCCAACCAAAUGUGAUCAUUGUAGUGGCGAUUGAAAAAAUGGUCAAUCCUAUGGCAUGGUACUUGUUAGUAUUCAGAGUUCUUGUGAGAGAGAUAGAGUGUUUGCUCUUAAAUUUGUUGUUGCAUGAUUGAUAGCUAGGUAUGUGAUAUCUUCUUUAUUGUGAGGAGGCAUGUGAUCAAGUUGAGGUGGGUGAUUUUGUCACCUUUACAACAAUGAGAUACAAAGUAGGUAUAAUGUGGUUGAGGUUAAGAAGUGAGACAAUUCUAAAGUAUUGGUAGUGGUCACAUGGUUUCUCCUUAAAGUCUAUUGCGUCCUUCAAUGUUCCAUUUUAUGUUGAAAGGUGUAGUCGAAAUAAUUUUUCCCAUGUAUGAAGUGAUUUUUUAUGGUAAUAAUCAAGUGAAAGUCAUCAUGGUCAUUGGGUAGCAUAACGUGGGCAUACAUGUUAAAUUUUCUCAUGAUAAGGGGUGGUGGAUGUUAAUGAAUUGUGAUUUUACCACUCAUUUGCAGUUAACUUUCAGGUACACUACCAAGUUUUGUGUAACUAAAUGAGACAUAACUGUGAUUUAAUCAACUAAUAGCAAUAUUUUUGCAGACAUAUAGUUGGUGAGAUGAAAGGAUAUGCAUUGAAGCUAAAAGACAUCAAGUGGAAGCAAAGAAGUGCACCUGAAGACCUAAAUUUCCAAAGACAAAAAUUUUGGUCAGUCAAGAUGGCUAAUAUAACACAAUCGCGGAUCCAUACCACGGUAGUGUUGGCCAUGGUCAUCGACGACCUCAAGUGAUCACGUCUAAGUGCGAAUGUUUCCCAGGGCAGUUUUGUAAUUUCACUUGGUCUAAUUCCAAACUUUAUUAGGUUAAAACCCUUUCAUCUUUGGGUAUUUCUUACCUUAUAGAUAUUUUUGUAUUUUAAACAAGAACCCUAAUUUAUAAAGAUUGUAACUAAUUUUGAAGACUUGAAUUCUUAGGGUUUUGUGAAGAAAUGGAUGCUUUGGAUAAUCCUUAUGGUAUAUCUUUCUCUACAUUCUUCAUGAGUAUCUACAAAAUUUAGUAUUGGGAUUAUGUUGAAUAAAGUGUAUCUGUGUGUGGGAAUUGAUGUAUUUACAUGAUUUCUAGUUGUUGAGUAUGGAUUUAACCAUUGCUUGAGUUUAAUAGUUAGAAUUUUAUGGGUAAGAACCCCAAAUGUCCCAAUGAGUUUGAUAUAUGAAAACCCUAAACUCUAGAAAACCUUCAUAAUCUUUGAAAGAGGAAUGAAGGUGAAUCAAUGGGAACCCAUAGCAUCCUUUAAAAUGGCUAUAGGGGGACAAGGAAAUGGUGGACAAUUAAGUUUGUGCUUUACUACCUUUUGACAUCUUAGAAAUAAGUUUAAAUUGAGUGUAAGUCAUGUCAUGGGCAUCUUUCUAGAAAUAGGGAUGCUCGGUUGAGGUAUUGGGUGACUAUGCAUGGCACACUUGUUAGGUUCUCGAAAGAUCCAAUGGGUGAAAUCUUUGAGGUUUUGUUGAAAAACUAGCCGCAAAGACUUUUGAUCUAUCCUAUCUCUCACUCAACAACUAUAUAUUUUGAUGAACCAUAUUUAACGUACACACUUUAUACCUUCAGUAACACGUAAUCCUAAAAUUCUCCCCAAACAUGAUCUUAAAACUAAAAGUGUCAUUAUUGCUUGUUAUAACUCAACAAUUGAUACAAACCAAAUCCCCCCACUUUUAUUAUAUGGGUUUUCUUACAUUCUGGGAAUCUUUUUAAUAAUUAGAGCACCCAAAGGGCUUGAAAUUUUCAUUUCACUCUUUGUGGAAUCAACCCCAACGUGAGUUGGGAUAUUGACAAUGACUGCCUUACCCCCUAAACAUGAGUGUAAGUUGAGAUUUAUCACUGAUUAUUCUAACAACUAUAAUAGUGAUUAUGCUAUUGCCUGUGAUAUAGACCAUGUUUAAUAACUAUACUAGUGAUUUUUCUAUUGGUUAUGUUAAUUAUCACUUAUUGGGUACAUUGAUGAUCGUGCUAUUGAUUAUACUACAGAGCAUGAUUACUAACUACAUUACUAGUUAUUCCAUUGAUUUUGCUAUGAAUAAGCUAUAGAUUAUGCUAUGGAUAAUCCACCUCUAAGCGAAUGAUAAGCUAUCUUUUAUGAUAAUGAUAAUCCAUUGACUAUCUUAUUGAUAAAGUUAUUGCCCCUGCUUUUGAUAAUAAUUAUUGAUUAUGUUAGAAAUCAUAUCUAUUAACUAUAUUAGCAAUCACAAUGUUUAUGGGUUAUAUUAGUGAUUAUGCUAUUGAUCUUACUAAUGAGCAUGCUUAUUGAUUUUAUUAUUGAUUGUACUACUAAUUAUACUAAGGACCAUGCUUAUUGAUUAUAUUAGAGACUAUGAUAUCCAUUAUGGCAAGAUUAUUUAUUUACCAUGGUAGCGAUCAUGCUAUUGAUUAUGGUACCGGCCAUGGUAAUAAUGAUAUGAUUCCCGAUAUAAGUUUUGAUAUUUCUUAUGAUGUGACUUAUUCAAAUACUAGUUCAAAUAUCAUUCAUGAUGAUGAUAUCAAUUAUUGAUAGUUGAUGUAUGUUUUAAGGAUGGCUAUGAAUUUGAUGAUGAUAUUCAUAAUAUUGAUGAUAGCAUUGAUGAUGAUAUUGAUGAUAUUAGUGAUGAUGUUCAUGUUCAUAUUGAUUGUGAUAUUUAUGUUGAUAUCAUUAAUUAUACUUAUUUGUUCGAGUUCGGAUAUACAUAUAAUACUAUGAUGGCAUACUUAUUAUGGUAUGAUGGUAUUAGGGUGUGAGACAACAAUAACAAUUCUAGCUAAGUAUGAAAAUAAGGAAAUGGUUAUAAGAUGGCAUUGUAUGAAUGGAUCCCAUUGAUACUUGUUUAGUUGAUAAAUAGCGAUUAAUUGAAAAAUGAUGAUUAGCCGACAUAUCAAGAUUAGUUGAUAAAUAAUUAUUAGUUGAUAAAUGAUGAUUAGUUGAUAAAGGAUGAUGAGUUGAUAUGUGAGGAUUAGUUGUUACAAAAUGGUAGGUUGAUAAGUGUUGACCUACUAAUAGAUAACGACCAUGGGCAAUCAAUGACUUGUAUGGUAUGGAUGGAUGCUAGUUGUAUCAUGAGGGCAUAUAAUAAGGGUGAUGGGUUACCUAUCUUAUUUGUACCUUUCAAGCUUAUGGGGGCUUAUGAUGUGUCACUUAUUUUUUCUCACUAAUUGACAUAUGGGGGCAAAUUCUAAAUUUAUAACUGCAUAUGUUUAUUCCUUAUGUUAGGAUGUUAUUCCGGGUAAUUUACUUAAUUAUGCACAACAAUGUUGGAUUUUUUUCAGGUUUGUCUCUACCUUGACAUAGUUAUGUUAUCUCACAUUUUAUUAUACUUAUAUCAUAAUUUAGCUCAGUCGGUCGAUGAUGCCGACUGAGUGUCUGUGGUCUUCGUACUCAUACUACACUUCUAUACCUUUUUGUUGCAUAUUAGCGAACUAGUUUCUGUCAUUGAUCAUCGCUCAUGCUAUGUUGAUUUUUGUAAAUAGGGUAAGAUCUUUGAGUCAGAGUCUCCUAUUUCCUUUUAUAUUUUAUGUUUAGCCUUUUGUUUUGAGACAGAUGUUAUUGACUAUUUUAGAACUUAAGUUGUACGAUUAGUAGAGUCUGUUGUACUGGCUCUACCAGGUCGUGGGAUGGUUUAUUAUGUAAGAAUAUCUUCUAUCUGGUUCAUAUAUAUUGCUUAUCUGAAGGUGUGUUGUUGAUUUUCCCUAUGUUGGGCCUUUUCACACCAAGUUAACUCAUUGUGUUUAGCUCCGAGUUACAAUAUAGUAGGUGCCAUCAUGAAUUGUAAAUUGGGUCGUGACAGUUUAACUAAGGUUUUUGCUCGGUUGCCAAUUCAAACUAGUGAAGAAUUCAAAGUAGGGAAUUAUCUCUUAAAAGCAAACGAACUAUCUAGUAACCAAACUGCCAGUUCUAACAAGUCAGAAAUGACUCAGGAAAGAUAUAGAAAAAGUUUGAAACGACAAAAUAAGCAUAAAUACAGAAAAUGACCUAUAGGGUCAUUAUGAUUUUAGUGUAAUUUCUUUUUUUUUUCUAUGAGUGGCUACACUCUCAUACAUGGGGUUAUGCACAAAUAAAUGUUGAUUGAGUCUGGGUAGUGAUCAAGUACCUUUGUAUUAGAUUAUGAAUUAUGAUUUUAACUAAUUAUCUAUGCUCUGAUAUAUAUAUUAAGGUUGUAAGCUUAGUCUAUGUUUGGAUCUUUUUUAAUUCUUGAAAAAAUUACAAGAGUGAUGAGAUUUGCCUAACGAAAUUUGAGUUAUACUCAUUUAAGUGCCAAUGCUAGUGAUUGAUUUAACAUGUCGAGGAUAAUGGUUGUUCAAUAGUAAGAAUUUGGGUUUUCAAGUGAAACCCUUGUGAUAUUUGGUUAUGGAUUGAAAAAUCAUAGCCAAUAUCUAAAAUCAAUCCUAAUAAUAACAAACAAUCAAUUAUUAGGUGUAUUUUUAUGCAUCUAUAAAUGUAAUCAUGCUAAAGAAGGCAUAAACCAAUAUGCUUUAAUUCACUAAAUUAUAAUCUUAUUGCUUUUAGCUUUGACAAAUCAAUUGUCAACACUUUUAACUUGUUCUAGAAAGGUUCAAAUACAAACACCCCUUUUGAAUUUUACUUUAAAAUUUAAUUUCAGUAUUGCAUGCAAGCCUAGAGUAUCUUGUGAUACUUGAGAGUGAAGAUAAUGAUAUUUUUUCAUGUGGAAACAACCUCGACUCUUGUGGUUAAGAAAAUACAUUAGAAAUGAUCUCUAUACUUCAAUAGUAUAAUUUGAAUAUCAUCACAAAUGGUUUCAUUGUCGGGGGAUAAAAUAUAGCUGUUAUUCUUUUUAGUUUUAUAAUUCACUUCGAGUUAGUCAUAGUGUUUACUUCACAUUGUUUGUUAUUUUUGUUUCAUAUAGAUGAUAACAUGAGCCAACAUGGUAGUGAGUCUGCUACCUUUGAUGGCCAUCUCGGGGAUUAGGAUCACCUUUGAGAUACCAACAAAGCUAGUACCAUCGGAUACCACCCGCCAAGAAAAAUAACGUGUUUCUUGUUACUAGCAUGAUGCUUCAUUUACUUCAGAUAAAGGGAUUGUCUGGGGACGAAGCGCACGAAUAUGACAAACUUAAUUUGAAGAAUUUUAAUAAAAUGUGUCUAGUAUCUUUCAUUUGAUAUAACCUACAUAUCUCAAGAGUCAAUCUGAUUGCGACUUCUCCUAUUCUCAUUAAUAGAAGAUGAAGUAUUAUGGUUCCCAAAAUUUCCCACAUAUUCUGUCACUUCAUAUGAUAGAAGCAUUCUUUGAUCGAUUCUUACCUCCAUCACAAAUGUUAAAAUUAAGGGAUGAAAUUAUUGACUUUCAUUAAUUAAGUAGCGAACCACUCCAUGAAACUUUGUAAAUGUUUAAUAAGAAGUUUUUUUAAUGACCUAAUUAUUAAGUCUCAGACUAAAUACUCUGUCAAAUAUUUUAUUAAGCAUUAGAUCAAUUGAAUAAAAUGGUGGCGGAUAAUGCGGAUGAUGGAUCUUUAGUGAAACAAACUUAUGGUGUUGUGGUGGCUUUAUUGGAUUAAGUUACUAAGAAAAGUCGAGGUUGGCAUAUAAGAGAUACCGAAGUGGACAUGGGGUCUCCCUACAAAUAUUUUGCAAGUCAAGAACAAAUAAAGCAGGAUAAGAAGAGAAAUGAGGAUUUGACAAAAGUAAUGACACAAUUGAAUGUUCUCACCAAAUAUAUAAUGGGCUCAACUCCAAAGGUAGUCAAUAUCCUUGAUUCUAUAGGAACCAAAGCAUGUGAUGAUAUUGACACAGAGUCUUGAUAAAGAAAUCCAAUUCAUACAAAACCAAAUGAGGGUGCUAACCUACCUAUCAAAGGCAAACCAUGAAUCAAGGUUGUAAAGAAAGGAACCAUGAAUCAAAAAAUUAUGAUUGAGAUAGAGAUAAGAGACAUAAAGAAAGAGAUUAAGCACAUGAUUUGAAAGAUAUGGAUUUGUCACUAUGAUAAGGAUCUUUCUCUACAUGAUUGGGUGAAAGUAAGACUCUGUCUUUAUUUAUCUGGAAAACUAUAAAAGUACGUGCAUCCUUAUGGGGGUUGAAGGAAUUGAUAAGAUGCUAAGAGUGAUGUAAACCAACUUUUUGAAACACAAUAAAGCCAUUACUUCACACUUAAUAUCUAUCAAAUAAAAUGAGACCCAAUUGGGUUAAAUUUCUUCCUUUUUGAAUGCAAGACAAAAAGGAGGACUACUUAGUGAUACGAUAAAAAAUUUGAAGAACAAAGAUCGUGGCCUGGCAAAAUUUCACAAGGAAUGAAAAACUAUAGGUAAUAAUGUUAUGAAUCUUGAUGAAGAUUUUGAUGAUAAGGGAGUUGAUAAACAUGUAAGAGGGAAGAUAAGACUUUUUAGCUUUGGCAUCCAGGUAGGAUAUGCUUACCCUAUUUAUAUACUUAAUUUAUUUUUGAUAAUUGUAUGAUAUUAUGCUAGUUUUUGGCAGGUAGUGAUAUCCUGGGUAUCAUUUGAAAUACUUUAUCCAUUAUUUAUCUGGUUAAGACCCCAUUCUAGUAAAUGUAGGUCCCAUUAUCUUGUAGUAUGGUGUAGUAUUUAUGAGCUUAGCACGUGAUCUUAAAUUUUGAAAUCUAGUUUUCCUCCCUUUUAACUAAGUUAUGCAAAUAUUUUUCUAAAUUCAUCUCAGUUAUAGUUCAAGGCCACCAUAUUUUCUAUUUUUGUUAUUUAUUGUAAAAUUUGGUACCACUUUUGCAUCAAUUAUAGUGUAGAUUAGGUUUCAGUUUUAGGUUUGAGUGCAGUUAUUAUGAGUUUUUCUUCGAGUCCGACAAUUUGGUUAUGAUAUUAUCGGGGAGUUCUCUUACAGAUUACUAUUGUUCUAUGAGUUAUGGUACCUCUGAGAUUCAGUCUGAGUCUAAUAUCAUAUUAUGAUUUCUAUUGUAGAUCAUAUAUGUGGACUCUCAUUAUUACCCAAAUUUUGAUUUUAUUCCAGUAUAUUGCCUCUUGUUAUUAUCAAACACUACUUAUUCAAGCCCAACAUCUUCCCUCUCGUUAGUACCUAUUAGUGUUGAUUCUAUCAUGGUUCAUAUUUGGAUAGGUACUAUGUUUUCUGGGGAUUGGUUCAGUCAUAGAUUAUUUAUGUAAUUUUUUUAAUUACUUCUUAUGUGUACCACCAACUUAUGGGUACACAGUUUGGCAAAUAGUUUUUUCAGUGUCCCUAGUGGGCUUAUGAGGACCUAAUUACAUUAUGUUUAGUUUGAAUUCUUAUUAUUGUGUUAUUUAUCUUUCUUUAUUGCUUUUAGUUAUUCGUUUAUCACAUUUCUAUAUCUUGUUAGCUGUUUAUCUUUCCAUCUCUAUUUAUAGUUCACUUAGACUACACCCUCAAAUUUUAAUUAUACUUUUUCUAUAUUGAGCUCAGUCGAUUGAUGAUGCAUAUUGAGAAUCCAUUGCUUUGAUACUCAUACUACACCUUCAUAGCUUUUCCCUGAUGUAGAUUUGAGUUCUAACAGUUGAUGUUGACAUUAUUUCCUUUUUCCAGUACCGAUUUGGAGUUGGGUGAGCUUACUAUCAUCCAAGUAUUAUCCUCCUACAUCAGUUCUAGUUUGUUUAUAAUUUAGAUUCUAACUAGUAUUCUUAGUACCUUUUAGUAGUGGCUUUAGUACCGACCUCACCAGGUCUUUGGAGAAAUUCAUUUGUAUAUUUUUUCCUCUUCUUUCUCUUCGUUUUUAUAUCUUUUAUAUAUUUUUCUUUUUUUUUGAUUAAUACUACUGGAAUUAUUAAUAUCUGGUCUUUUUGGUUUUUGCCCGUAAGACUGUUACCUUUGCCUCUAGGCUAUGUCUUGGAUUUCCUACCUGUGGGAUAAGGCAGGCACCAUCAUUACUUGAGAAAUCAGGUUGUGACAACUUGGUUUCAGAUCGUAGGUUUCACUCAUAUUUUUUAUACUGGAGAUAAUGUUUAGUAGUGUCUCGUAGAUUGUAACAUAGAUGUCUGUAUCUCUUUUUUUGGAGGCUACAGAGCAUUUCCAGAGCAAAAUAUCAUUUUUUAAUCUAUUUUAAAGGAUCGGGUUUGAGUUGGUUUUUAAUCUUUAUUAGUUUACUCAUUAGGAAGAUUGCUAGGGUGCGAGGUGCGAGAGCUAAGGAUCAAGAAACUGAGCCCACUAAUAGAGUUCCUGUUAAGGGCAAAGGUUGGCCUAGAGGUUGGGGGCAUGAUAGAUUAGUAGCCCCAUUUUGAGAUUAGUCUAGGAAUACAUUACAUAAUCUUCUUAUAGCUCCGAUGUUUGAGGAAACUUUUGGUAUUCCAUCACCACAAUAAUAUGUGGGAAAGGGAGAAGAACCGGCUCCACCCAAUUUUAUAUCCUGUUAAUCCUUCGUGAUACAUUUCUAUAAUUAUUAAGAUUAGUUGGUAGUACGUUGAACGAGGAUGCUCAGACAAUAAUAUAUGGUGGUGUUCAUUUAGGGGCACAACUUACAAUAGUGAUGCCUAGGAUAGAGGUUCCUCAAACCCUAGUAGUUCCAUAUCCAGUAGUAGUAUAAAUAGUAAUAUCCAUUAAGGAGCAAAUUAUGCAGGGACGAUGUUUAAAAUUGACUCCAUCCAUGUUUACUGCGACCGCAAGAGAGGAUGCUUAUGAGUUCAUGUCUAGUUAUGAUGAGUUAUUAUGAAAUUUGGGGUUGGUCAAAUCAUGAGGUGGUGGACUUUUUUGCUUAUCAACUAGACACAUUAGAGAGAAGGUGGUAGGGAUGUUAUCUUGAUUGGAGACCAGCUAAAUCUCCACCGGUGACUUAGACUCAAUUCUCCAAGUCAUUCUUGGGUAGUUAUAGGCCUUGCAGCAUGCACCAUUGUCUUUGGGAUUAGUUUUUGACUUUGAUACUAUGUUCUAUGUCUAUGGCUGACUUUGAGAAAGAUUUCAUGAUUUAGCGAAUCACGCCACUAUUAUUCUUCAUAUAAAGUAAGAGCGGAUAUGAUACUUUGUUAGGGGAUUGAGAUUACAUUUUUGUAGGGAUACAUAAAUUUUGGUGACUUUAGGAAAGUUUUUUUAAGAUAUUUCUGAUCAUGCUUAUUCUAUCGAAGAGAUAGCUAAUGAGGCCCAAGGGGGAAAUGAUUAUAGACCUUAUUAUCUUGGAAAUUACAAUGGCACCUACAUUAUCUCAUAGUCUUGAUGUUGAGGGUUGCUAGGUAGGUAUUCCCAUCAGCAGCCUUAUCAGCAUUUAGAGCCUAAUAGGAUAGUUCAAGCAUCGCUUCAGAUAUUAUAUACUGGUCAACCCAAUUAUAGUAUUUAGAGCAACAAUUAGGUUUAGAGGGAUGUUUAAUUAGGAUCAUUGAGUCAGGGUAGUCAUUCUAGGUCAACCAAUCCUUCUAGAAAGAACAAGGUGCCCGAGGCAUGUUAUGAUUGUGGGGUUGUUGGUCACUUUGCCCAUGAGUGUUCUUAGCAGUGAAUGAUUGAGCCUUUAGUUCAGACUACAGAACUAAUCAUAGCAGUGCCACUGCCAGCUAGGGGUGUUACAUAGGGUUAUGAUUAUGGACUCUAUAGUUUAAAAGAUGGUUCAUGGGGAGGUAAAAUAGGUGGUAAAACAUACAUCUAGUCUAGUAGUUUACCUUUUCUAUUUUUAUGUGCAUCAAGUAGACUAGUAGAUGAGGCUUAAAAUUUUGUGAUAACAUGUAAGAUUUUCAUAUUCCAUCAAAAAACUUCCACUUUGUUUGACCUUGGUUCCAUACUCUUAUAUGUUUCCUCUUAUUUUGCAUCAUAGUUGGGUUUGUGUUUAGAGUCUUUAUCUAUUUCAUUAUAUGUAGAUAACCCUAUGGGUAAUUCUUUAGUAGUGGAUAGGGUAUAUAAAUAUUGUCUUGUGGUUGUCAGGAGUUUAAUACUCGGGUAGUACACUUUGUCCUAGAAAAGGUAGAUUUUGAGGUGUUUCUGGGCAUGGACUGGUUGUCUACCUAUCAUGUGAUCUUAGAUUGGUUUGCCAAGACCGUUACCUUAGCCAUUCCUGGCAUAUCUCCUAUUGUGUGGUAGGGAUCUUUAGCGAUAUGCCAAUAGCAAUUAUUUAUAAAAUUCAUUCUAGGCAAUUGAUUUCGAGGGGUUGUGAGUCAUUCCUUGCUUAUUUUUGGAAUAUUAGCACUAAGAGUCUAUCACUUGACUCUCUUUCUAUUGUUUGCCAUUUUCCUGAUAUGUUUCCAACCGAACGACCUCGUCUUUCUCCUGGAUAUGAUAUUGAGUUUAUUAUUGACCUAGAUUUGGGCACUCGACAUAUUUGUCUAUCUCUUUAUCAUAUGGCUCUUACUAUUCUAAUAGAGUUGAAAGUUAGCUUCAGGAUAUUUUAAGUCAGGGCUUUAUUAGACUAAGUGUAUCGCCUUGGUGUGCUCCAAUUCUUUUAGUGAGUAAAAAAGAUGGCUCUAAGCAUAUGUGUAUCAACUAUGGGCAGUUGAAUAAGGUUAUAGUAAAGAAUAAGUAUCCUAUACCUUAUAUCGUUGAUUUGUUUGAAUAGCUCUAGGAUGUUGAUGGCUCAUGGUUUUAUGGAACUUCUCAUUCUUAAAACAAUGAAAAUAUGCAAGAACUUAGGCCUUCUUGUUAGAUUUGAUGUGUGUUUUGUGUAUGUUGUAGGUAAAUACGGUUGGUGGUGAUAUGGAUAAAGAAUUGAUGAAAAAGCUCGAUAAUAUGAUAAGUGCGAACUUGACAACGAGUCAUUUAGUCACCUAAUGACUGGUGGCCUAAGUCAUGAUGUAAACAGUAAAGGAGUCUAAAUUCAUGAGAAAAGUAGAGACUGAAUACAUCUAGGGACAAGUGAUAAAGAGUCAUGAUGUGGAAUCAUUUUGUUUACAUUAGCCAAAAGUCCGGAAAGUUGACAAGUGAAGUUACAAUUGAAAUGAGUGAAGCUCAUUGGUCGUGAUGUAGAGUUGUUCUUAGCAUGGAGAAAAAUACUAAAAGUUGAAAGUCACUGGAGUCAUGUCAGGUCCUAGUCAACGACUCGUUAAGUCACACAAUAAGUCAUGACUACUGAAGAUAGAAGAGGAGUAGCUAACGAUUCAUUACCAAACAUAAUCACUCGUUGCCAAAGGGAUGACCACUGCCGACCUCUUUUCCCUAUUUUUAUUUGGUAAGGUUUCUUAUUUGAUUUUGAGAAUAUAAUUACCCCUGGGGUCCUAUUGUAAUAGUUACGUACUUUGACAUAUUUUUACCCACUUUAUACUCUUUUACUUGGUUUUUGAAUUAUUAUUGAAUUUGAGACUUUGGAUUUUACGCUUACAUUCUUGUGCAAUUAAUUCUAUGAUUUCAUUACCAAAUUCCAUGGAUUGUUGUAUAACCAUGAGUGGAUAGUAAAUUUUUCUGAUUUCGUAAUCAUAUUCCCACAAAUAUAGGAGCCAUGGAUAGGGAAUACAGUUAUGAAUUUAUUAAUUAAAGUUGCUAAAGUUCUUGGGUUUUAUUUUUCUGUUCAUCGUAUGUUGUAUGCUAGCAUAUGCCUAAACUAGAAGUCAAGGAAAUACCUUACUCCCACAAAAUCCUAACCCCAAGAGACUUCUGUAUAUGAAUCAAACAAUGACAGAACACAUACGUGAAGGACUCUUGAAAGGGUUUGAGAUAACCAAAAUGUUGUGCCUCCCUCUCUGCCUCUUGUUGGUCAGGACAUUACUGAUUAACAAACUGAUCCAUUAUUAACUGAAGCUAUUAAAUAGAGGAUGGAAGAAGAUUCUCAAAAUAUAUAUCCGGAUGCAGAGCUAUCAAGUCAGAGACAAGAGGAGGAUUAUCGAGUAGCACUCGAUAGAAAAAAAGAUGAAGUUAUAGGUGGUAGAGCUCAAGGACUCUCACCCAAUCUGUACUUGCGACCAUAUAAAGAACAAGAGGAGGACUUGGGUCACGUUGAGUAUCCUAAGGCAUUAGAUAUUAUUCCUCAUGGAUUGCUAUCAAAUGUGAUAUUUGAUAUCAUUAGUGUUAUGAUCCAGCUAUUGAGCUUGACGGGUGUGUCUACGGGCUUACCAAUUGAUGAUGUAUAUAUGCAUUUUAUAAACUUUAUUGGGAUUUGCACUUCAUACAUUAUACCGAAGGUAGAUCAGGAGGCUCUCACACUCACAUUGGUCCCUUUUUCUAUAAUUUGUUAAGCUACAUUAUGGUUAUGAGAACUUACUCAUGCAUCCAUUACUACUUGGAUGAGUUAUGGAGGAAGUUUCUAGAACAUUUCUUUUCUCCAGCAAGUAUGCUACAAUUUCAAGAUGAUAUAUAUAAAUUUAGGUAGUUGGAUUCUGACUUGAUGUGUGACAUGGUUUUGGUAUAAGGAGAAGGUGAUAAUGGUUCCUAACCACUGGAUUUCCAAGAAAAUUUUUUUUAGAAAUAUUCUAUAAAUCCCUUAAUACCAGUUCCAGUGAUUUGGCAGACACUAUUUCUGGUUGAGCAUUCAUGCGCUUGCACUGGGAGAUAGUAUUGAAUAUGCUAGAUCAAAUCUCUCUCACCAACGAAGGGUGGCAUACUUGGGAGGUAGAUAAGGGUGAUGGAACAUAUGCUAUUGGGGCCUUUAGUGAACAUGGAGUCAUUGAUUGCAUAAUGGCACAAAAGGUUUCUCAGUUAAGGACUAAGGUGAGGUUGUUGUCUAAGCAGUUCACAAUAAUGAAUUUUGAGAAGGUAAAUGUAGUGGGUUCAUAGGGGGAUACCUCUAGAUAAUAUUAUUCAAAUUUAGUAGAAGAGGGGAAUUAUCUAUAUAGAGAGUUGGAGGGUUUCCAAGAAAAGGGUCAAGGAAAUCAAGGAAACCAAGGUCGGAACUACUAUAGGGAUAGGUACAGAGAUCAGAGUAGAGAGCUAGAGAAUGACUAGAGAUGUAAGGUUGACUAUGAGGAGAAGGGGGACAAAUAUGUUCAACCAAGUAGUUGAGAUAGUGAAUCAAGAAUAGAGGCAAUGAUAUCCAAGCUAGUCAAGGGUAAGAAAAGCUAGGAAACUUUCCUUAAGGAGAUUAAUGCAGAAAUUUUAGGUUAAAUCUAGAAGUUAGAAUUGUAUGCACUACAAUCAAAUUUUGGAGCAAUAAUUUUUUUCAAAUAUCAAAAACCUUGAAUCAUUUACAUCUAGGCACCAUUCUAACCAACAUAGUUUAGAGUCCUAAGAAUGACGAUCACAGUUUAGAAAUUACUACUUGUGCUGGUAAGAAUACCGUUGAUACCCCUAUGACCAUGGUUGAUGAGUCAAAAAAGAUAGCGUUGAUAUUGAUGACGCAACUUAAGUAGAGUCAGAUAAGAUGGUGAUGAAUGCUAAGUCAUCAGAAAGUGAAGAGGUGUUGAGAAAAAAGUUUCUAAUGAUAAAUGUAAAGAAAAAGUAGAUGAUCCAGUGUUGAAGACUAUUCCACACCCUCCUCAAUAUUUUCCUCAGCAUUUGAAGAAAAAUAAGAGAAAAGGAAAUCUGAAAGAUUUUUUUAUAUGCUGAAGGAGUUAUCUAUUAAUAUUCUUAUUUUAAAAUCUUUAGAGUAGAUUCCUGGGUAUGUGAAGUUCAUGAAAGAUAUGGUCACUAAGACUCGGAAACUGAGAUUUGAGCCCAUAAAUAAUGUGCAUCAUUGUAGUGUUGUGGCUACUUGAUCGUUAAUGGAGAAUAAGAAGGACCCCUGAGCAUUCACCAUUCUAUGUACUAUUGGGUCCUUUAACUUCUCUCGAGCAUUAUAUAAUUAUGGAGAUAUCAUCAAUAUUACGCCUUUGGUGGUAUACAGAUAGUUAUGGUUGUGGUCAACCAAACCUACAUCUAUGGGACUAUUGAUGGUCGACUAGACUAUCAAGGAAUCAAUUUGUAUUUUGUGUGAUGUAUUGGUGAAGGUUGCAUCCUUUAUAUUUCUGGGUGACUUUGUGAUCUUGUACUAUAAGGUGGACUUUGAAUUCUUUAUUAUCUUUGGAAGGCCAUUCAUAGAUAUGACUAGGCCCCUGGUUAACAUGGAUAUAGGUCAAAUGAAGUUCAAACUCAACGAUGAGCAAGUAACUCUUAAUGUUUGUUAGUAUGUCCGAUAGGCAAAUGAUAUAAGAAUGGUGUCUGUGAUUAAGUCUAUCGAUGAUGAUGAAGUAAAUGUGCCCACUGAGGAGAGGUUUGGGUUUAAGGAGUUAGCAACAGGCAUCAUAAAUUUUGAUACCAAUGGUAUCGAUGAGUAUGACGAGAUUGUAAGCACAUUGUAUAGUAGAGGUUCUUAUAAUUAUGAUCCAAAGAAGUUGAUUUGCAUCUUAAAAAUAGAACCACUCCUCUAGUUUAACCAUCUAUUGAUAAGCCACCGGUCUUGGAGUUGAAGGUCUUUCUCUAACACUUGUGCUAUGCAUUUUUGGUGGAAGAUAAUACCUUAUUGGUGAUUAUUGCUAGUAGCUUGAUAGAGACACAGAUUGAAGCAUUUCUAUUAGUGUUGUAGAGAAUUUAGAGUUCUAUUUGAUUGACCAUUGCAGAUAUUAUAGGGAUCCCCGUCAGGUAUUUUUACACAUAAAAUACAGCUUGAUCCAGACUAUAUUCCAAGAAUUGAGCACCACCAUAGGAUGAAUUUGCCUAUGCAUGAGGAGAUGAGCUUGACAUAGAAUAUACUUUUCCAGAUGAGCGAUUCUUGGUAGCAUCUCAAGACCUAAUACCCUGGUUUUUUUAUUUUGCCAACUUUUUGGCAAGUGUUCUUAUUCUAGAAGAUUGGUCAUUCCGGCAAGGAAAAUGGUUCAUGCAUUAGGUAAGGAAUUUUUUUCUGGGAUGAAACUUAUCGUUUUUGAAUUUUUACGGAUGAAGUAAUUUGUAGAUAUUUUCCUGAGGUGGAAAUAAUGAGCAUUUUGAAGGCUUUUCAUUCAUCAUCUGUUGGGGCCAUCAUGGUAGAACCCACAAAACUUACAAGAUUCUGUAGUGUGGGUAUUAUUGGCCUACGAUCUUUAAGAAUUCUCAUGACUAUGUGCAAGAGUGUCACCAGUGUUUGCAUCAAGUUAAUAUUUCAUGAUACCAUAAACUCCCCAUGAUACCUAUUUUAGGGUUAGAGUUGUUUGUUGUAUGGUGAAUUAACUUCAUGCAUCUUUCUGAAAGCUCCAUGUAAUGAAAUGUAUUUUGGUGGCAGUUGAAUAUCUAUCUAAAUGGGUGGAAGUGGUAGCACUCCCUAAUAAUGAAGGUACAAGUGUCACCUCUCUUUUAAAGAAAAAUAUUUUUUCUCAAUUUGGCACUCCACGUGUAAUUAUUAGUGAUAGUGGGUCUCAUAUCCACUAGCAUUUAUUUAAGUCCCUAUUUGAGAAAUAUGCUAUAAAUUAUAAGGUGGGAACACCAUACCAUCCUCAGACAAAUGGGCAUGUUAAGGUCUCCAAUAGAUAGAUCAAGUCCAAAUUGGCAAAGAUUGUGAAUUCCAACAAGACUUACUAGUCUAGGAAGUUUGAUAAUGCACUGUGGGCCUAUUGAACAACUUUUAAGACAACCAUAGGUGCCAUCCUAUAUCAAGUUGUGUACGGAAAGGCAUGCCACUUGCCAGUCAAACUUGAGCAUAAGGAAAUAUCGUAAUUGAAAAAGCUAAAUUUAGAGUGGAAUGAUGCAUCUAUAUUUAGAUUGAACAAGUUUAAUAAGUUUCAUGAAUACCAACCUCCGUAAUUAUGAGACUUCUACCAUAUACAAAUAAAUAAUAAAGUUGUUUCAUGAUAUGAAUAUUUAUAAAAGAAUGUUUGAAUCCAAUGAUUUGGUCUUGUUGUAUAGUUUAAGACUUCUCUUGUUUCCUGGCAAAUUAAAGUCAAAGUGGCAUGGACCAUUCAUGGUUCUAUUGAUAUGGAGCAUAAUGGUAAAGAUCCAUUUAAGGUGAAUGGGCAGCGGGUGAAGCUUGAGUAACCAAGGAAAUUAUGUCAUGCCACAACAUUACAUAAGGCUCUGCAUGAGAGACAACCCAUGGACUGGUUAGUGAAGUAUUAGCAUCCAACCUAGCCACAUCUUAACAUGACAUUAAAUCAAUCCCUAUGUUGGAGACAACACAUUUUUUGUAUUAUUAUAUGAUAGGGUAAUUUGUGUGUUCAGCGUGCAGGGCUAGAUAUUAUAGAAAAAUACCAAAAAAAAUUAUGUUUCCAGGUCCCCACGAAUCUCCUAUUGAGUCAUGAUCACUCCUAAUGACUUGUUAUCGAGCUUAGGCCACUCUCAGGAAUUUGGUCUCUAGAGUCAUAAUGAUUCUCAGAAUGAGUCAUUGUUAGUGAUAAGGACUUAUUAUGAUGAGUCAUUAUGAGUGGUGACCUAUGUAAGGUUCCAUUUAUCAUGUGGGAGGGUCGAGUGGGAGGAAGGAGGGGGAGGGAAGAGGAGUCAAUGACUAAUUAGUGGUAAUUAGUCGUAAUGAUUGACUUAUUAUUAGUCCCGACAUUGCGGGCCUACUGGAUUAGCCCGAUGUGUAAUCAGUAUUUUAAAACCAAAAUUAACUCCCAUUAUUGAUUUUAUUCCCAUUUGAGACAUUAAGACUCCAUCUAUUCUCUAAAAUCGUUCUAUUAUCAUUUAAAGAGAACUCUAAAUUCACCCCUAUCAUCAUAUUCAAAUAAUCCAACUCUCUAAAGGUUAAAACUCUCAAGGACUAGGGCUACACAACUUCAAGGAAUUUGUGUUCAAGGAAUCUAAAAACAACAAAUCAAGUAAGUUGAAUGUUCUUAAUUUUUAAGUUAGUAGUUCAAUAUGGUUCAAAAUUUCAUAAAUUCAUUAAUUACACUAUGUUCAAAAUAUAAAAAUUGUCCUUAUGAUGUGCUAUAGAAAUAUAACACUUUCGACGCUUAAAACGAAGAACAUAUUCUAGUUUCUGAGUCCUAUUUGAUAAAUAUGAUCCAUUUUGGGUAUGUUUUGCUAGAAACCAUGAUUUGAAUGAUAAUUUCAUGAAAAUGGUGAAAAUGGUGUUUUUGUCCACUUUGGGAGCGAUUAUUGAUGAUUGGGAUAUUUUUUGUCUUGAUCGUGAUCAAUGUAUGUUCGAGAUUCGAAGUAGAGGUGAUAAAUCGACUCCGGAAACCUACUAAGUAAACCUAUGGACCACAUGUUGAGCUAUAGAACUCAAGUAGACAAAGCGGGUAAUAGAAAUUCCAAAAUACCGUGAGUCAACAUGUAGGAAAAUUUCAAUCUAGUACCUAUGGUUGGUACCUACGCCUAGGGCAGACUGUAGGUACAACCCGCAGUCAAGAACAAACAGCAAGUACAAGGAGUGGCUAGCCACUAACCCUGAUUUCUCCUAUUCUGUUUAGGCUUUGUCUUUAGGGUUUUCUCUUGUACAAUAAAUACCCUUGAUUUACUUUUUAUUAGAGUUUCGCCACAUUCAAUAUUUAAAAACAUAUUUUUGUUUCAAGGUCCAUCUUUGAUCUCGAGAUUUCAUUGUAUUGACUUUGCUUAAUUAUUUAGUUUAUAGUUGUGGGUUUCUUUCAUCUUAUCAUUAUGAUUUCAUCUUUUCUUUCCAAUAUGAAUGUAAUUGAUCUCUUCCUAAAUAUGAGCAUCUAAAACCCAUAGCUAGGCUUGUGGAAAUCCUGGUACAUUGACAAAGUNNNNNNNNNNNNNNNNNNNNNNNNNNNCCAUACUCAUGGCAUAUAUUGCAUUAUCUUUGAUAUGAUUGAUUUCUUAAUGGUUGUAGGAUCCCUCCUAGAUAUUACUACUUUAUAAAAUAAAGGGGUAAUAACUAGGAAAAGAUAAAAAAAAAAAAAUUAGUGAGCUAAUAGUCGAUCCGUUGCAUCACAACGGUAUAUCUGAAUGAUUAUUAGCCUUUAUCUAAUAACUUAAGACUCAAAAGGUGAUAGUUAAUUAGGACCAGGGUGAGGGUUAGUAAUGUGAUAUUCGAAAACUCAAUAGUAAAGAGUGAAAUCCUUCUACUCAUCCAAAAGACUAUAGGAGAUACAUAACUUAUCGUCUCUAAGAUGGUAGGAGAACACACAAUCCUAUUGACUGAUUUUCAACCAAGUUAAUAUUGUUUUAUGUUCGAGACUACUACAAACAAAUCCCCCAAUUACUUUGCUAUUCUGCCAGCAAACUGUAACUACUAAGAUCUUUCAAACCACGUGUUCCUUUGGGAUUCUACCCAACCUAAGUUGGUUUACUAUAUCUUGACAAAGAUCGUAUCAUCACCUAGAAAGAGGUGUUUGUUGGACAUCAUCAAGGAAAUUUACGCCAUUGUCAUUGAACACAGUGUUGAUUUGUAGAUUAAGGUUAUUGCAGUUUUUGGGUUUUUAGUUUUUCUUUUUUUUCUUAGUUGGGCACACACCGAUGUAUGCCUAGAACAUGGAGUAGUAGCAAUCCCUUACUCUCGAUGAAUCCGAAUCCAAAGAGGAUCCUACAAACACCUGGUAGGAUAUUUUAGCCAAAAAAAUGUGAUAAUCUAGAACGGGUUUGUGAUAUUGUGCCUCCUACCGAUGGUGUACCAGAUAUUGUUGAUCUUUAUACUAAUGAACUUUUAGGUCAAAUAGAAGCUAAAAGGAGAACAAGGAAGAAUCUAGGAGGAUAGAUACGGAGGAUGAUCUAGAUGAGCUGAGACAAGAAGCAGACCACCAAGCAACACUUGGUGGUAAUUAGAACAAAGAUAGAGGUGACCGUGUUUAAGUAAUUCCAAUAUAUUAGUAUGUGAAACCAAAUAUAAAUGAUGAGGAGGAUAUGUGAUAUGUUUAGCCAACAGAGAAUGGAGCCUUAGUCCGUCCUGUUUUUCCCCCAAGCAUAAAAUUUGACAUCACGAGUGUCAUGAUCCAACUUUUAUAUUCAGAGGGUGUGUUUGUGGGAUUACCUACCGAUGAUGCGAAUUUGCACCUCACAAAUUUCCUUGAAACUAUAACUCAUAUACCAAUCCAAGGGUAAAUUAGUAUGCACUUAGAAUAAGGCGUUUCCCCUUAUCACUUAUAGGUGAAGAAUUUUUAUGGUUAGAAAAAUAUCCAAGAGGCUCUAUCACUACUUAGAGUGUGUUGCGUAGGAAAUUAUUAAAUAGGUUCUUCCGUCCAUCAAGGAUGAGAUUUUUAAUUUCAGGUUGUUAUAGUUACAAUCCAUGGAUGAGGUUUGGUUCGGGUUUAGGAAGAAGUUGAACUUGGUGCCUAAUUAGCAUUAUUCAAGGAAAAUCUUGUUGGAAAUAUUCUACAGAACCCUGAGCAUUGGCUCCAGAGCCAUGGAAGACACCAUCUCUUGAUGAGAUUUUAUGAGACUACUCUAGAUGGUAGUUUCAAAAUGUUAGAUCGGAUCUCACUCACUAACUGAGGGUGGAAAACUCGAGAGACUGAGAGGGGAUCUGGAACUUAUGCUAUUGGUGCUUUCUAUGAUAAGAUAUUAGAUGAUGAUAUAGUAGUGCAAGAAAUUAGGGUGCUCUUCCAGUUCAUAUGAGCCUAAAUUUGAAGUGUAAGCUAACUACCUAGAUCGUUAGAUAGUGGGUUUCUGAGCCAAAGUUUGAAGGAAACAAGGUAGGAACUAUUAUUAUAGGUACAAAGACUAUAACAGAGAGCGAUAUAGUGACUGGAGGAAGAAGGAUGACUAUAGAGAGAAGGGAGAUAGAUAUACUCCACCUGGUAGGUAUAAUGUAAAAUCUAGAAUGAAAGAGAUGUUUGUUAAAUUUGUGAAUGGUUAAGGAAAUCAAGAGACUAGCCUUAAAGACAUUAAGGCUAAUAUUUAAUGAUAGACCCAGAAGGUUGAGUCAUAUGCCACUACUAUCAAGCAGCUGGAGCACCAAUUUGGGCAGAUGUCAGUAACUUUGAACGAGAGGCAGUCGAGGACCCUUUCAAGCAAUAUGGUUUAAAAUUCAAAAAACAACAGUCACAUACUUACUAUUAACACAAGGAGUGGUAUCACAGCUAUGGAUCCCGUAAUGCCUGCUACAAAAGUUGUUGAUGCUAAUACAUAUGGUGCUUAGCUAGAAAAGGUAGCAGGUGAUAGAGAUACAAUUGCUAAUGGUAAAGGUAAGUUCCUAGUCAUUGAGCCUGAGGUAAGUCAAAUUUUGUGGUCACCCCACUUUUUCCUCAGCGACUGAUGCAGAAGAAAGAGGAAGGUAAGUUCAAAUAGUUCAUUAUGAUGCUGAGAGAAUUGAGUUUGAACAUACCUCUUCUUGAGGAAUUAGAGAAGAUGCCUGAAUAUGCCAGGUUCAUGAAACAGUUAGUCACAAGAAUGAAAGGAGAAACUUUUGAGGAUAUUAAGGGUGUUCACUAUAGAAGUGCAGUCACUACUAGAUCCUUGGCGUAGAAAAAGGCUGAUCCAAGAGAAUUCACUAUUCCAUGUACUAUUGGGUCAUCCAGGUUUUCUCGAUACUUCUGUGAUUUAGGGGCCAUCAUUAAUUUGAUGUCACUUGACUUAUUAAAGUAACGAGGCUUAUACCCUCUAGAACUGACUUUGAUGUGAAUAUUGAUGGCUAACUGCACAAUGAACAAGCCUAUGGGAAUCUCUUUUUAUGUGAUUGUAAGGGUGGACAUAUUCAUUUCCUUGGUUGGAUUUGUCAUCUUGUACUGUGAGGUUGACACCGCGAUGCCCAUAAUUUGGGAAGACCAUUCAAGACCACAGAAAGUACUUUAUUUUAAUACAAAACAGGGAGCUUAGAUUCUUUGUCAAUAGUGAGGAGACAAAGUUCAACAUCGAAAAGUCCAUAAAGCAGUCAACUGACAUGAGGGUAGUGUCGGUGAUAGAUUAUAUUGAUGACCCAAGAGGAUAUCCCUAUAGGUAUUUUGUUGAGUUCUGAGUAGCCAAGAUAUCUGCGUCAUUCCAUAAUGUUAAAUCAAGGCUUCCUGGGAGGCAACCCAUGGGCUUGUUAGUGAAGUUUAAGAAACCAACAUAUCCCAUCAUUUUGCAAAGUUAAAUCAAGCGCUGAGUAAGAGAAAACCCACUAUAUCGUAGUGAUUACGUUUUUGUCGUUUUUUCUCUUAUAGGUUUUUAACUUUUGGACCAAACAUGGAAUAUGGUAAACAUAGCUACAUUCAUCCAUUUUAAGGUAACAGGACCGUGUGAUCAACCUAUCAUGAUCACAAGUUCCAUACGCUAAGUUGAGGAAACAAAUUGAAAGGUCAAAAUUCUAAGGAUGAAAAAUGGUAAAUUGUAGACUUUGGCAUCUAAUUUUAAUUUUGGGACCUAAAAUAUAGGUUACGGGACCAUAAGUAUCUUGAAAAAUGUCUCCACGCCAUGUUCUAGUUGCAAAAAUAUGGGCCAAAGAUUUUGCUCGACAUCUGCGCCAUGUACCCAACAGUGGGUAGGUGCCGUGAAUAAGUAAAAAAUUGGACCACUUUUUAAUUACAAUUUUGGGCCCACCAAAAUUUAAAUAUGGCCUAUUGUAGCUCCCCGCCUAUAUAAAAAUUAACCAACCCUACACUGAAUAAAAGGAGAGAUUGACACUAGUUUGAGAUACCAACUUGUCCCAAAAUCUUAGAAACAAGUUUCAACCUUGGUUUUUCUUGAGUUCUUCAUUAUUCUCUUUUGGAUUUUCUUAUAAGAGGUAACUUGCUUUCCUCCUAAUUGUAAUAUAAUGCUUUAUUUAUUUUUGAAACAAGUUGAUAUGUGUAUUAAAUGGUUUAAUAUAUAGAAACUAUCAUGCUUGUGUGCGGGAUCCUUGAAAUAGCAUAAAAUAAUAAUGUAGGGCCCUGUUUCAAGGUAAUAUGAUAAGUAAGGCCCUGAUCGAAAGUUGAACUUGAAUGAAUGAAAGUAAUGCCAUGAGUAGAACUUGUUUGUUUUCUUUGAACGUCAUGAUUUAUUAUUAAUGUGUAUUCAUUGGACUUGUUGGGGUUUCAAAUAGGUUAUAUGGGUGUGAAAAGUAAGGAAAUAUUUGAAUGUUUUGAAUUUUGAGUUUUCCUUCAACUUUCACUAUUGCUAACUUUUAUUGGAAACUAAUGUCUAAUUUUUUAGGUAUAAAUGACACCUAAAGUAUCAAAGAAAUAAGAAGCUGAUACUUCGAGGAGAUAGGGUAAGUCACCUUAGCUUAGCAGUUCAGUGGAUGAGUAUUCGAGAUAGCGUCAUGUUGAUGCUACAGUUGUAGUGAACUGUAGAGUCAUAUAAGGACAGACUUGUUGGGUUGCUCAGACAUCCGUAUCCCAGACGAGGAUGAAAUCUGCAAGGAUAUCACCACCACAUACACCUCCACUCAAUGAUUAUGAUUAUGAUGAUUAGGGCAUAAAUGCUAAGUUGACUCCAUAGGAUGAUACAUAGGACCCUAGUCUGAGAAGGGGUCCCAAGAUUCUUCUGUGGAGAUUGAGUAGGAGCAGUCAUUAGCGGUGCUCCAGUAUAAGGGUACUGCCACUCAUGCACAAUAGAUAGAGGUACCCCAGUCUAAGAUGGGUACAACUCAGACAUCUAAUGUUGGACAAUAGGUACCCACACAUGCCCCAGAUACACCUCCCAAGAAAGUACAACUGAGGUGGGGUAUGGAAGGGAUGCGACAUAUUUAUGAGCUUGAUCGCACUUAUAGGGAGCAAGGUAGGCCAGGACGAUGUAGCUAUGAGGAGUACAGGAUCAACUUAUCAUGGCUGCAGAGGUUACCAUAGCUUAGGCCAACAUUUAACAAGCAUCAGCUCGGGUGGAUGACUAGGACACUCAGUUCUUAUAAUCCCGCUAUGGUGUAUGAGUUUUAUGCAUCUUAUAGAGCCAUAGUAGUCCUUCCCAUGCACCAUCAUCUAUGAUUAAUAAUAUUUUUACCACAACCAUAGCUUGAUCACACACUUGUCAGAAAGGUUAGAGUUGAUGUUAGAGAGGAGACUAUCCGUAGAGUCAUACUUCCCCAAUGUUAUAUUACACCCGCAUCUAAAGCAAAGUGCAACCAUAGAUUGAGGAUCGCACGGGAUCAUCAUAUUAUGUGGGAUGCUGAGUACAGGGCUGAGAGGCUCAACAUAGCUAGGUGGACAACCAAUUAUAUUUCACCACAAGGGGAUAAAGCCUCAUAGAUUGAGAGGACAAAUGUUAUUAAAAAGGGCCUGUUGACACUAAAGGCCAGAUUUUAGUGGUUGUGAUUCGAUAUCUCCUAAUUCCCAUGACUUCAGAUAAUGCAUUGAUAUCGGAAGGAGUUGUAUUGGCUAUCUUCUUAAUGGUUAUUUAUGAUAUUGAUUAUCUUUCGAUCCUUAGGCACGUUCUACACGAGAGAGCUUCUGGAGAGCUAACUAACCUGUCAUUUCCUUGUAUUAUAUGGAGGAUAUGUGAUUAGACUAGUGUACCUAAGUUACCAGGUAUUGAUAAGAGGGUGACUAUUACUACUAUUGUGCAGACGAAGAACCAAAAGGGUCUGACACGUUCAGGCACUACUAUUGUUAAAUCUUAGUUUGUAAUGCCCCGAAUCUAGUACCGAAAACGUUAAAUGGUGCUCAUGACCCCAAAGGACCACAAGCUUACCCAUGACUGAUAUUUGUAAUUGAGUACUAAAUAAUAUACUAUAAAUAUACAGAAUAUAACUUGUAAGGGCAUCAAGUUCAAAAAUGAACUAAUACUGAAUAUAAAAAAUGUUUGUAAUAAGGUAUAACAAUAUCCAAAAGUGAAAUAAACUAUCUGAAACAUGUUGUAGUCUGAAAGCCUCUAAACUGUUUGAAAACUGUGGAGUUGAUACAACAUAUCCCUAACUAACUCUAAACUACUGAAAUAAUAAAGUAAUAAAAUAAUCAUGUUUUCCUCGAAUGAUGAGGACUCACUGCUAGUUUGGCUACUGAACCUCUGAUCUACUAUGGAUGCUUGAGAGCUCAUACUUCAAAACCUAUGGUAUAAAACAUCAUAGCGCAAGUGUGUUAGUACAUUGAAUGUAAUGGUAUGCAACUGAGGUGGCUGUAUGCAAUGGUUCAUGUGCAUGAGCAAUACUAACUGAAUGAAUAACAUGAACGUGAGAAUACAUGCAUAAAUACGUGACUAUGAUCGAGAUAAUGAUAACAGUGACUUAUGAAUUCAGAUAAUAUGGAUUUUUUUAUAUCUGAGCACUAAUACUAGGAUACUGAAUGACUAAGUCUAUUGAGUGCUGAGGAACUGGUGUCAUAUUACUUAUAAAGGAAUGACUAUUUCUGAUAGUUCUGAUUAUAAAAAACUAGUUUGUUUGACUAUAUCUAACAGACUUUAAAUCUAAAUACUGGUAACAUUAAUUUCAUAUGAUUAAUAUACUAUUAACUAGGUGAUUGUGUCUGACAGUCCUGAAAUCUGAUUGAACUAUUUAAGUUCCAUACUUAUUGAGUGAUUGUAUCUGAAAGUCCUGAUAUAUAAAGAACUAUUUGAGUUAUAUUACUCUGACAGUUCUGAUUCUAUAACUGAAAAUGUAGGAGAAUUCAUCUAACCAUUAUGCCCUAAAUAUGAACUGGUGGGGUCUAACUUGUAACUCCAGCUUGAAGGGUGUCAGUACCGUGCCAUGAGUAAAGACAAGCUAUGAGUAAACCCUCUCUGAUAGGGAGCUCUUCCAUCAACCCCUUCUAUAAGAAAAACUAAAAUAAGAUCUAUAGUCCCUAUAUUCGUAGGGGUACAUCUCAACCUAAGAUGGCUACGUAGUUCGGGAAUGGAGGGAUUGAUACUAAGGGUCACACCCUCUACUGGCUGACAGUAUGUGUCCUUAUCCCUGGCUUCACUCGGUGCUGAAUCCGACUCCCAAAUGAAUAUACACAGAACUGAUUACCUAGUUCAUACUAGGCUGGACUGAUCUGUUAUUGAUUUUACUAAUUAACUAGAUUGAAUUGAGUUUACUGGAUUUUCGUUAACUGAUGGAAUGCUACUGAAUUUUAUUAACUGAUAGAAUACUGUUAAGUUCUGCUAGCUGACUGAGUUUACUAAGGUCUGAACUGAAUACUACUGAGACAUGAUAACUGACUGAGAUCACUGAGAUUCCUAAGAUUACUGAGAUUACUGAAUGGGACUAGACUGAUACUGAGUUUACUGAGUUUUCCUGAGUCACAUGACUGACUGAAUUUUACUGAUCACAGCUUGAUUGAGAGUAUCAUGAAAACAUGACACUGGCUCUAGCCACACAACUAAAUUGUCAUGUAUUUAAUGCCCCCAGGACUUGAUAGCAUAAAAGUAUAUCAUGGCACAAGCUUGAAAUCAUAACAAUGGCUACAUAUAUCCAUAAUUCAUUGACUAAGACAUUUCAUCAAAUAGCUUAUUUGCACAAACUUAUACAUGAAUGGGGAUUUCAUAAUAACAAGCUAUGAAGGCACUAUUUUCUUCACAUAGGCAUUUUAUCAAACACAUGGGGAGCAUUCUUUGGUUAUACAAUAAUCAAUAAAUCAAAUUAUCUUGGCUUCAUAAUUAAACUUGGAAAUUGAAGGUUUUCUCAUGAAUAUUAUGCAACACAUCACAUACUAGGAUCAAUCAUUGGAACAUGAAAUUUUAAAUAUGAAUCAAAACCUAACAUCAACAUGAACAUGAAUUUCAAUUCAACUAAAUCAUGAACAUUCAUAAAUACAAAAUCUUUAGAUUUUGAAAAUAGAUUCUUCUUCAUCCAGGGUGAAAGUGACCUAUGAAUCAACACUUUACAUACCUGGAAAUCUAAAUGCUCUAAGUUCUUGAGAUAGUCCCAGUAGUUGGGACCAAGAGAGGUCACUUACAUAAUUUGCAGGAUCCUGUUAUGACAGGGGAGGAGGACCUUAAAAUGGCCAGAUAUGAUUAGUUAGAGACUGCAUUUGUAGAUAAGAAGAGGCUUCAUUCUAUAGUAUUAGGUGUAACAUCCAGUAUUGCACUACCACUUCCAUCUCCUUUGUAAUACCCCGAGAAAUUUUUCAUUAAAAUUUUUGGCGUAAACGUGUUCGAUUCUAUCUUAUUGAAUGAAUUAUAAAUUUUUUCCGUAUGGAAUGUCUUAGAUUAUGACCCACCAUUGCGUAGAGUAUCAAAUAAUCUUUCCAAUGAUAUGUGGAUCAUCCAAAACGGACACUCGAGCGAUGAGUUAUGAACAUUUCGAUCGAACUGUGAAUAGUAGUGAACAGUAAAACGUGCAGGAAAAAGUACUGAGGCCUAGCGUAUUUUUACUCCAACUUUAAAAGAUCAUAAAUUCUUGUACAUAAUAAUCUGGGUGAUCUACUAUAUAUCAACUGAAAUCUCUGCGAGUCCUCUUUCCAAUGAAAUUGGUUUCAUCCAAUUUUUCUAUCGAAGAAAAAAGUUAUGGUUGAUCUACUUCAACCUAUCAAAAGCAAAUUUUUGGGUCAACUUCAAAUGCUCAUAACUCCUCGUACAUAAUUUUUUGGGUGAGAUACUAUAUAUCAAUAGAAAGAUAUGAGAGUACUCUUUCUAAUGAAAUUUGUUUCAACCAAUUUUGAUAUCGGAGUAAAACGUUAUGGUUUAUCUACUUUGGACUAUCAAAACAGUCCACCAAAGGACAGAUUCAAGAAUUAUUUGAUUUUUAGGGGCGUUUUGGUCAUUCCCCCUUACCCAAAAUCCAUCCAAACCCUAUAUUAAAACCUAUUAGAAGCAUUAUAUGUUAUAUUUCAUCAAAUUCUCUCAAACAGAAAACCCUAAACUCCUACAUCCAUUUUCAAGAACCUCUAAAGUUCACCAUUAAUUCUGCAAAUUUAUUCAAGAUUCCAAGUUUCUAGUUCAAGAACUUCAAGAACCUCCAAAGUGCACCAUUAAUUCUGUAAAUUUAUUCAAGAUUCUAAGUUCCUAGUUCAAGAACUCCAAGAACCAACAUUUAAAGGCACGAUUAACAUCUCAAAAAUGAGUAUCGAUCUAAAGUUCAUCAUUCAAGCUAUGCGUGAUUUUUAACAAGAACUAUCCUUUGUUCUUUUGCUCAAAAGUAAUUUUCUUUACAAAGACAUGAUUUUUAUUUAAUUUCUUACAAAUUUGAAGUAUGAAUACAUAUAUUAUGAUGAUCAUUAUGAAAUCUUGAUGUUUAUAAUUUUGAAAGAUGAAUUUACAUUUGUGAAGAUACAAAGCAUGAAUCUUGAAUGAUAUUUAUCAUGAUUUUUAUAUUUGGGUCGUGAAUCCCCAUUGGAAAUUGUAUUUUUUUAGAAAGUGUGUUAUAAGCACGUUGAUAUUGAAUAUUUGAGAUAUUUUGAAUGAUUUGACCUUUUGUUCUUAAUGGAAUUAUUUUGAACUCGAGUGUGAAAGAAAUCCACAACGUGGUUGAUUUUUAUAAAUGGGAAGCAUGAUGGCUCCCGAUGUACAUUUAUAUAUUAUUGAAAUUGUUUUGUUGUGGAUUGUCUUUGAAAUGGUUUGAGCUAAGUCUGGGAGAAAUCUUUAGCAUAGAGUGUGAGGUAUAAAGCGACCUUACUUUCCUAGAACUACGUGCCCCAGUAGGAGUGAUCCUGAGGCUGAUUUAUAUAGUGAUCACUAGUUUGUGUGGAUUUUAUAUCGAUAGUCCUUCUCUGAUGGCAAGGAUAAGACGGCUCUCCCCAACGUGGGUUGUACGUUGGACUCCAUGUAGCUCACAUGGUUUAUAUUGGUUAUAGGAUCUCCCAGUGUGUGUGUGUUUCCUUAUGUCUAUAGUGAAUAGUAAAGUGAUUUGAAAGUGGAAUUGUGAAAGUUAUUCUUUCAAAAGAUUUAAAUGAUAUUUACAUUAUGAGAAUUGAUAUUCUUGAUGAACUGAAAGUGAUUGACAAAUUAUAUAAAGACUCACAUGUGUUAUUGUACUUAUUUCAUCCUCUCAUGAUUAUGAUUAUUUUCUUCGGGCUAUGUGAGUCUUUCAUACAUCUUGCAUAUUUCUUAUUAAUAUUUAUCAUGAUGAUGUUUAUAAAACUGCAUACAUCCCCAUAUACUCGGUUCAUUUCUAUGGUACUAACCCACAUCUUUGGAUGUGAGCUACAUUUUUUCAGAAUGUUGGUUCAGGUGAUUAGUUCCAGGUUUGACAGUGAUUCUUCAGGCAUGCUGUUCUACAUCCUCUGUCGUGGUGAGUCCUCAUGUUCUAAGGGCAUGAUGUAUGAUGUUGGUUUCACGAAAUUGUUUACAUUUGAUAACUGAGUAUGAGUCAGUUGGGGCAUGUCUCAAUGGCUCGCUGGUUUUAUUGAUUUUCUUAGAGGCUUGUUAGACUAGUAUAGAUGUUGGGAGUUGACUAAUAAGUCAUAUUAUUUUAUCUUUCUAAAAUUCUUUUAUUCUUGGAUGAUGAUUACUCUAUUGAUAUUUAAGGGUUAUUUAUGGAAACCCCAUUGAUUUGUGUUAAACUGAAUGAAAAUGCCUCAAAGGGUUAACUUAGGGCUAUACGUAGCCUUAAGCACCGUGUGAUGCUCCGAGACCCAUUUUUUAGGGCGUUACAAACUUGGUAUUAGAGCCUAAGUGUUUAAGGUGUCCUAAGGAGUCUGACAAGCCACGUUAAGUAGAGUCUUAAUCAUCCGUGUGUAGCAUGCCACAUCUAUGAGCAAGAGGCUACAAGACGUUUUAGGAAAAUGUGUGAUUCCUUCUUUUAGAAGUCUAUCAUGCUUAAAGUAUCUCUCUCUGCUAUUGAUUCACGCUCUCCUCUUUUAGAAAUAUGCCUCCAUUAGUCUUGUUGGAUAAUCUAAUUGAGUUAGACAUUGUAGAUUUUGAUGUGAUUCUUGGUAUGGACUUGCUGUAUUCUUCUUAUGCCUCUAUUAAUUGUCGGACUCGAGUGGUCAAGUUUCAGUUUUUGGGUGCAUCCAUGUUUGAGUGGUACGGUAAUUCUGUGUCACCCAAGAGUUAUUUUAUCUCUUACCUCAAAGCUAGAAAGCUUAUUUCUAAGGGGUGUAUUUACUAUUUGGUUAAAGUCAAAGACACUAAGUCUGAGACUCCAACUCUCCAGUCUGUUAACGUCGUUAGUGAGUUUUCUGAUGUCGUUUCGGAUGAUCUCCCAGGGAUACCUCCUGAUAUAUAGAUAGAUUUUAGGAUUGAUCUUCUUCCCGAUACUCAUCCUAUUUCUAUUCUUCCUUACCAUAUGGCCCCUGCUAAACUUAAGGAGUUGAAAGAGCAACUCAAAGAUCUACUAGAUAAGGGUUUCAUAAGGCCCAGUGUUUCUCUUUGGGAUGCUCCUAUAUUGUUUUUGAGAAAGAAAGAUAGCUCUUUGCGUACGUGCAUUGAUUAUCGCCAACUGAAUAAAGUGACCAUACAAAAUAAGUACCCCCUUUCGAGAAUAGAUGAUUUGUUUGACCAAUUGCAAGGUGCAAGUUAUUUCUCAAAGAUAGACUUUCGUUUUGGCUAUCAUCAACUCAAAGUUAGGGAGUGUGACAUUCUAAAAACCAUUUUCUGAAUUCGUUAUGGCCAUUUUGAGUUUCUUGUUAUAUCUUUCGAGUUAACUAAUGCCCCAGAAGCUUUCAUGGACCUCAUGAAUCAAGUGUUCUGACCAUAUUUGUAUAUGUUUAUCAUAGUGUUUAUCGAUGAUAUACUGGUGUACUCCUAUAGUGAGGAUGAACAUUCUGAUCAUCUCUGAACUGUCUUGCAAACUCUUAGAGAUCACAAGUUGUUUACCAAGUUCAGUAAGUGUGAGUUUUGGCUAAGGUCAGUUGCUUUUCUAGGUUAUAUCAUUUCUUUCAAGUGUAUUAGAGUUGAUCCCCAAAAGACCGAAGCUGUUAGAAAUUAGCCUAUAAUUAUUUCUCCAACUGAUAUCUGAAGUUUCUUGGGUUUAGCUGCUCUUACCACUGUUUUGUUGAGGGUUUCUCCUCUAUAGCGUCUCCUAUAACUCGGUUGACCCAAAAGAAAGUGAAGUUCUUGUGGUCCGAAUCUUGUGAGAAGAGUUUUCAGGAGUUGAAGACUCGACUCACUUUAGCCCCUAUUUUGACUUUGCCUAAUGGUAUUGAUGGUUUUNNNNNNNNNNNNNNNNNNNNNNNNNNNNNNNNNNNNNNNNNNNNNNNNNNNNNNNNNNNNNNNNNNNNNNNNNNNNNNNNNNNNNNNNNNNNNNNNNNNNNNNNNNNNNNNNNNNNNNNNNNNNNNNNNNNNNNNNNNNNNNNNNNNNNNNNNNNNNNNNNNNNNNNNNNNNNNNNNNNNNCUUUGAAAAUCUGGAGACACUAUUUGUAUGGUGUCCAUGUUUAUGUUUUCACUGAUAUAAGAGUCUGCAGUAUGUGUUUACCUAAAGAGAAUUGAAUCUUAGGCAGAGACGAUGGUUAGAAUUAUUAAAGGACUAUGAUAUGAGUGUGCUGUACCAUCCGAGCAAGGCCAAUGUUGUGGAGGAUGCCUUAAGUAGAGUGUCCAUGGGUAGUAUUUUGCAUGUGAUAGAAGGUAAGAAAGAGUUGGCUCGUGAUGUACAUCGUUUGGCUAGAUUGAGGGUUAGGUUGUUGAACUCUACUGAAGGUAGUAUGGGGUUCAGAGUAGUUCUGAAUCCUCCUUAGUUUCGGAAAUAAAGGAAAAGCAAUACUUAGAUGCUAGUUUGGUCAGACUGAAGGAGUUAGUCAAGGACAAAAAAGUAAAGGUGUCCUCCAAAGGGGGAGAUGGUGUGUUGAGAUCGCAGGGUAGAUUAUGUGUCCCGAAUGUUGAUGAUCUAAGACACAGGAUUAUGGCUGAAGAGCACGGGGCGCGAUAUUUUAUUCAUCCUGGUGCCACCAAGAUAUACCGAGACUUGCGGGAAAUCUAUUGGUAGAGUGGCAUGAAGAAAGAUAUAGCAGCAUUUGUAGCUAAGUGUUCAACAUACCAAUAGGUUAAGGUUGAACACCAAAGACCUGGUAGUAUGUUGCAAGAGUUUAGUAUUCCCACCUGGAAGUGGGAAGAGAUAAAUAUGGACUUCAUGAUUGGUUUACCUCCUUCCCAAUGCCAUCAUAAUUCCAUUUGGGUUGUGGUUGAUAGGUUGACUAAGUCUGCUCUUUUCUUACCAGUUCAUACUUCAUAUACUGCUGAGGAUUAAACUAGAUUGUAUAUUCGAGAGCUAGUCAAACUGCAUGGAGUUCCCUUGUCUAUCACUUUUUAUAGGGGUACUCAAUUCACUUCACAAUUUUGGAAAGCUUUUCAGAAGGGUCUUGGUACCCAAGUGCUUUUGAGUUCUGCUUUUCAUCCGCAGACCGAUGGUCAGGCUGAGCGGACCAUCNNNNNNNNNNNNNNNNNNNNNNNNNNNNNNNNNNNNNNNNNNNNNNNNNNNNNNNNNNNNNNNNNNNNNNNNNNNNNNNNNNNNNNNNNNNNNNNNNNNNNNNNNNNNNNNNNNNNNNNNNNNNNNNNNNNNNNNNNNNNNNNNNNNNNNNNNNNNNNNNNNNNNNNNNNNNNNNNNNNNNNNNNNNNNNNNNNNNNNNNNNNNNNNNNNNNNNNNNNNNNNNNNNNNNNNNNNNNNNNNNNNNNNNNNNNNNNNNNNNNNNNNNNNNNNNNNNNNNNNNNNNNNNNNNNNNNNNNNNNNNNNNNNNNNNNNNNNNNNNNNNNNNNNNNNNNNNNNNNNNNNNNNNNNNNNNNNNNNNNNNNNNNNNNNNNNNNNNNNNNNNNNNNNNNNNNNNNNNNNNNNNNNNNNNNNNNNNNNNNNNNNNNNNNNNNNNNNNNNNNNNNNNNNNNNNNNNNNNNNNNNNNNNNNNNNNNNNNNUGGUAGUGGAUUCCUCUGUGAGUGCUCACAUUCAAGAAAAUCUUUCUUUUGAUGAGAUUCCUAUUGAGAUUCUUGAUUUCAGUGUGCGAAGACUAAGGAACAAAGAAGUUCCCUAAGUCAAUGUGUUGUGGCGAAACCAAUCUGUUGAGGGUGCAACUUGGGAAACUGAGGCGGAUAUGCGAUCGAAGUACCGGCACCUAUUUUCUACGAACUCCGAUCCAGCUGAAGGGACCGUUCUUUCCUAAAUCAUGUACUUUUGAUAAAAGUUGCAGCAGUUCAGCUGUCAUUUAUUAUGUGUUCAACUGUAGUUUCUUAAAUUUAUGCACUCUAUGUUGCAUUCGGAAUGAGAAAUGAUGUGGUGAUGAGUCUAAUGAAUGGUUUCAUCUGUAUGCUCUAUUCCCUAUCUAAUCUUGGUAUGUCUAGCAUCAUUCGAGGAUGAAUGUUUCCAGGGGGGAUGAUGUAAUAGCCCGGGAAAUUUUUCAUUGAAAUUUUGGGCGUAAACAUGUUGGGUUCUAUCUUAUAGAAUGAAUUCUCAAUUUUUCUGUGUGGAAAGUCUUAGAUUAUGACCCACCAUUGUGUAGAGUAUCGAAUACGAUUUCCAACGAUAUGUGGAUCAUCCGAAACGGACACUCGAGCGAUGAGUUAUGAACAUUCCGAUCGAACCAUGAAUACUAGUGAACAGUAAAAUGUGCAGGAAAAAGUACUGAGGCCUAGUGUAUUUUCACUCCAACUUUAAACAAUCAUAAAUCCUUGUACAUAAUAAUCUGGGUGAUUUACUAUAUAUCAACGGAAAUAUCUGGGAGUCCUCUUUCCAAUGAAAUUGGUUUCAUCCAAUUUUUGUAUCGGAGAAAAAAGUUAUGGCCGAUCUACUUCAGCCUAUCAAAAGCGGAUUUUUGGGUCAAAUUCAAAUGAUUAUAAAUCCUCGUAUACAAUGAUCUGGGUGAGAUACUAUAUAUCAACGGAGAUAUAUGAGAGUUCUCUUUCUAAUGAAAUUGCUUUCAUCCAAUUUGGAUAUCGGAGCAAAAUGUUAUCGUUGAUCUACUUCAGACUAUCAAAACAGUCCACCAGAGGACAGAUUCGAGAAUUAUUUUAUUUUUAGGGGCGUUUUGGUCACUCCCCCUCACCAAAAAUCUGUCCAAACCCUAUAGUAAAGCCUAUUAGAAGCAUUAUAUGUUAUAUUUCAUCAAAUUUCCUCAAAAAUAAAACCCUAAGCUCCUACAUCCAACUUCAAGAACCUCCAAAGUUCACUAUUAAUUCUGCAAAUUUAUUCAAAAUUCCAAGUUCCUAGUUCAAGAACUUCAAGAACCUCGAAAGUUCACCAUUAAUUCUGCCAAAUUUUUUUAAGAUUCGAAGUUCCUAGUUCAAGAAAUCCAAGAACCAUCAUUCAAAGGCACGAUUAACAUCUCAAAAACGAGUACCGAUCUAAAGUUCAUCAUUCAAGGUAUGUGGGAUUUUUCCACAAGAACUCUCUUUCGUUCUUGUGCCCAAAAGUAAUUUUCCUUACAAAGGCAUGAUUUUUUACGAAUUUGAAGCAUGAACCCAUAUCAUAUGAUGUUUCUUAUGAAAUCUUGAUGUUUAUAAUUUUGAAAGAUGAAUUUACAUGCGUGGAGAUAUAAAGCAUGAAUCUUGAACGAUAUUUAUCAUGAUUUUAAUAUUUGGGUCGUGAAUCCCCAUUACAAAUUGUGUUUUUUUGAGAAAGUGUGUGUUAUAAGCAUAUUGAUGUUGAAUAUUUGAGAUAUUUUGAAUGAUUUGAACUUUUGGUCUUAAUGGAGUUGUUUUGAACUCAAGUGUGAAAGAAAUCUACAACGUGGUUGAUUUUGAUAGAUGGGAAGCAUGAUGGCUCCCGAUGUAUAUUUAUAUAUUACUAAAAUUGUUUUGUUAUGGAUUGUCUUUGAAAUGAUUUGAGCUAAGUCCGAGAGAAAUCUUUAGCACUGAGUGGGAGGUAUAAAGCGACCUUACUUCCCUAGAACUACGUGCCCCAUAGGAGUGAGCCUGAGGAUGAUUUAUAUAGUGAUCACUAGUUUGUAUGGAUUUUAUAUCGAUAGNNNNNNNNNNNNNNNNNNNNNNNNNNNNNNNNNNNNNNNNNNNNNNNNNNNNNNNNNNNNNNNNNNNNNNNNNNNNNNNNNNNNNNNNNNNNNNNNNNNNNNNNNNNNNNNNNNNNNNNNNNNNNNNNNNNNNNNNNNNNNNNNNNNNNNNNNNNNNNNNNNNNNNNNNNNNNNNNNNNNNUUCCUCUCAUGAUUAUGAUGAUUUUCUUCGGGCUAUGUGAGUCUUUCAUACAUGCUGCAUAUUUCGUAGUAAUAUUUAUGAUGAUGAUGUUUAUAAAACUGCAUAAACCCCCAUAUACUUGGUUCCUUUCCAUGGUACUGACCCACAUCUUCGGAUGUGGGCUGCAUUUUCUCGGAAUAUAGGUUCAGGUGCUCAGUUCCAGGUUCGACAAUGAUUCUUCGGGCACGCUGUUCUAUAUUCUCUGUCGUGGUAAGUCCUCAUGUUCCGAGGAUGUGAUGUCUGAUGUUGGUUUCAUGGAAUUGUUUACAUUUGAUAACUGAGUAUGAGUCAGUUGGGGCAUGUCUCAAUUUCUCGCUGGUUUUAUUGAUUUUCUUAGAGGCUUGUCAGACUAGUAUAGAUGUUGGGAGUUGAGUAAUAAGUCGUAUUUUGUUAUCUUUCUGAAAUUUUUUUAUUCUUGGAUGAUGAAUAAUCUGUUGAUAUUUGAGGGUUAUUUAUGGAAACCCCGUUGAUUUAUAUUGAACUGAAUGAAGAUGGCUCAGUAUCCCCAAGCACCGUGUGACGAUCCGGGACUCGUUUUCUGGGGCGUUAUAGCCUUCACCAACUAUUAUACCCCCAUUUGAGGAGGUUCCUGACUUGGACACUUAGUGUGUCCUAGGUAUGUUCUCACUUCCCUAUGUUUUGUUUUGUUUUAGCAUAUUGAGGAUAAAGCACUUUUAAAAUGUGGGUGGCCAUGUUAUGCCAUCGUGAGUUUUUGAUUCCAUUCUUCUUUUCCUAUAUGUAGUAGUAUGACUAUAGAACCGACAUUUCUAAGAUAAUUAAGUAGUGUAAUGUUUUUUGUUAAUUAUGUUAUAUGUAAUUAGGUGAUAUACAAACAAAAUAAGAAAUUGAAAACUAAUCUAUGAUACAAAAACAAAAGGUAAAGAUAAAUAGAGAACAAAUAGUAGAUAGGCAUAAUGAAUGACUAAAUAGAAAAUAAAGAGUGUAUCAAACCCUAAACCCUCUAUUCAAUGUCACACAAAGCACCUCUCCUACAUACACCUCAAGGGAAUUGGAUUCCCAAGCAACCUACUUUUCUAAAUGAAAUAAUCAUUACAAAUGAUUCCACACUUGCCAUCAAUGCUUGUAUCACACUUUCACAAGUUUUUACAUUCAUUAAUCAUCAAUAAACUAUCUAUUAAAUGAAAAUAAUUCCUAUUUGUAGUCAAGGAUAACUUAUUAAAUCAUAUGGGACCAAAAGUGACCUAUUUAGUAAAGAUUAAACAUAGUAGCCCACUAGGCACAUGCUUGAACAUUUGUAGAGAAAAUCGGGCACACGGGGCAUAUACCAAGGGUAUAGUGGUCUAUUUUGACCCACUUUAGCGGAUCUAGAGCAGGUUGUGUGCCCCUCCUAAUAGGAUGGGGUGCAUUACCUCCUCCAUGGGCUUUCUAUCCUCGUUUUAUCUUCCCUUGGCCUCUCUAACAUCCAUUUGAGGAGGUUCCUGACUUGGACACUUAGUGUGUCCUAGGUAUGUUCUCACUUCCCUAUGUUUUGUUUUGUUUUAGCAUAUUGAGGAUAAAGCACUUUUAAAAUGUGGGUGGCCAUGUUAUGCCAUCGUGAGUUUUUGAUUCCAUUCUUCUUUUCCUAUAUGUAGUAGUAUGACUAUAGAACCGACAUUUCUAAGAUAAUUAAGUAGUGUAAUGUUUUUUGUUAAUUAUGUUAUAUGUAAUUAGGUGAUAUACAAACAAAAUAAGAAAUUGAAAACUAAUCUAUGAUACAAAAACAAAAGGUAAAGAUAAAUAGAGAACAAAUAGUAGAUAGGCAUAAUGAAUGACUAAAUAGAAAAUAAAGAGUGUAUCAAACCCUAAACCCUCUAUUCAAUGUCACACAAAGCACCUCUCCUACAUACACCUCAAGGGAAUUGGAUUCCCAAGCAACCUACUUUUCUAAAUGAAAUAAUCAUUACAAAUGAUUCCACACUUGCCAUCAAUGCUUGUAUCACACUUUCACAAGUUUUUACAUUCAUUAAUCAUCAAUAAACUAUCUAUUAAAUGAAAAUAAUUCCUAUUUGUAGUCAAGGAUAACUUAUUAAAUCAUAUGGGACCAAAAGUGACCUAUUUAGUAAAGAUUAAACAUAGUAGCCCACUAGGCACAUGCUUGAACAUUUGUAGAGAAAAUCGGGCACACGGGGCAUAUACCAAGGGUAUAGUGGUCUAUUUUGACCCACUUUAGCGGAUCUAGAGCAGGUUGUGUGCCCCUCCUAAUAGGAUGGGGUGCAUUACCUCCUCCAUGGGCUUUCUAUCCUCGUUUUAUCUUCCCUUGGCCUCUCUAACAUCUAUUAUGCCUAUUUGAUCAUCGUAAUCAUCUAAUGGAUGCCUUUUGAUAGCCGUCAAGAAUUCAUCUAGUGUCACUUUACCCGUAAGAAUCCUCUUUAGCAACCCGAAGGCCAUUUUGAUUGUAUCAUCCCCUCCUUCUUGUAGAAGAUUCAUCCUCAAAUCUACAACCUUUAAACAUAAGAAAAGAAAACACAACCAAUAUUUCCUCAUGGCACAAGAUUUAAAUUAAAAACAUCUAUGCCACGGAAGUACACAUUUCACAUAAAACCAAUGGUCCUUUGUUAUGAAUAAAAUGAAUUCAUCAUACACUACACAAAAGUGUUGGGUAUAAGAAGCCUUAUGAAAAAAGGAAACUACCAAGUUCGUAACACACAAGUGUUUCAUUAUUUCAACAUAAGACCAUAUCAAAGAACUCCCACCUCUAUCUAAAAUAAAUCCUACAUCAAUAUAGAUGUCAUCAAAUGCAAAGAGGUAGUAAAGAAAGGUAUGAAGAAGAUGAGUCUCUUCUAAGUUGUUUCCAUACAUAAGAGUAGCAAGGUACGAAAGAAAUCUAGUAACCAAGACACUAGAAAUUUGAAUAACAAAUGAAUGAGUUAAUUCUUUAGGAUCCAUAUCACCCUUCCUCCCAAGACAAAACAUGUUUACACAAAAUGCAUUUUCAUCAUAAGAAAAAACAUAAAAAAAAAAAAGUUAGGGAAACCAUUCUCCUCAAAAUUACCCUCAAAAUUGAGGUCGCAAUAAGAUGGGACAAGACAUUUAAAGCACAUUACAUUUUUUCUAUUCAAAAAACUUCCAACAAGAAGUGUAUUCACUAAUGGAAUCAUGCUAUAAGAGAAUUAGAAAAUCUAUGAGAAACCAAUUCACUCCAUGCCAAAGGGUAUACUAAAGAAGUUGGGUAACUUAUUUUUAUGUCACUUAGCAUGCUCCUAAGAGUCUUUCUUGUUGGUUCAACUUUUCAAACCACAUAUGUGUGACAAAACAAAGUUAUACAUCAAGUACGCGCCAACGACUCUUCUAAAGGAAAUAAAUAGAUUGGGAAUUAAGAUUGUAAGGCCCACACAAUUCAAUCACCAAAGGCAAAAACCUUAAAAGUACCGUGAAGACACAAAUACUAUCAAAAUGUUACAUGAUUUCAAUUAAUUUUAUGGGUCUACUAAAUAUAAGUAAAAUAUAAUCAUGUCUUGAAGUAGUACUGUCACGACCCAAACCAGGGCCUAGCCAUGAUGACCAUUUCAAACCAUGGAGGGCCGAAACACCCCUAUCUGUCUGGUAAUCAUGCAACUAAUUCAUAUGAUCAAAGUAAUGCAGAAGAAACACAAUAAUUCGGAAACAUGGUCAUAAAUAUGAACAGGAACAAUAACGGGGAGAUAAGGUUCCCUCAACAUAAAUUAACCUCUAAACAACUGUCUACGAAAAUCCCUAACAAAUGACUGAGUCAAGUAACCGUAUAUAAACUGGGACAAGGCCCCUAGUAAACCCCAAAACUGAAUAUAAGAUAAAAGGACUACAGGACAUAAGACCUUCCGAAACAUAGAAGGCUCACCACUUGUCUCUGCAACUCUGUUUGAAUGAUCUACUGAUUCUCUUGACCACUAGGCUGGGCCUCUGAACCUAAGAGGUUGGAGAGGAGUGGGGGUCAACACAAAAGUACUGGCACGCAGAGAUAUUAAAACAAAACAUAAUAGUUUUAUAAAAUAUAGUUGAGAGCCAUUAUAAAGCAAUACCAUAUCAAAUCAUUUGAAAACAAAUGGGCGUAAUGCAAUAGUUUUUCAACAACGAUAAAAUGCAACUGAGCUAGGUGGAAUUCCCUACAUAAUUUACACCCACUAUCUAACCUCGGUUGCCGCCGAGAUUAGAGUAUAAGUGAGGGAGAGACACUCAAGACCACAAAGCAUGGUGUCUCGACCCACUGAUAGUGACCAAGAUCACUUAGCUCGGGCUCCUACCUAUAGUCCCAAUUUGGGAAUGACAUAAAGUCAAGUACACAAGAUUACUUAGCCUGGUACCAAAAUUCCAUCUCGGUAAACACGUUUUCCAGUGAUGGGCCCUUACUCUCAAAUGCCUUCUUCGAGAAUCCACCUUUCUCAUGAAAAAUCAAUGCAUUCAAAUUUCAUCUUAUUCAACCAUAUAUCAUAUUCUUUAGGGUAUCAUCAUACCCGACUUGCAAGUCCUCAAAAUCACUUCCACAUAUGCAUAACCAUGUAAAAACCAAGGUGCUUCAUAAUUUACAAGUAGUGAACAAUAUUUAUUUUAAAUUCAUGCUCUCUUUUGUUGAUCACAAUAUGAUAUGGGGUAUAAAGACAUUAUCAUCGGAAUUUGAAAGCAAUUUAUCAUUCAUAUUUAUCAAACAUCAAUGGAAAAUAUCAAAUCACAUAUGCAUCGUUUCAACCAUUGAAGUAUAUAGGCAAACAAUUCCUAUGACAUAAAGAAAAAUGACUUAGAAAUCAUAUUAAAAGCAAGCUAUUAGCAUUUGAUUGAAAACCCUCAUUUAAAAGCAUGCAUGUUCAUAAAAACUACACACAUGAGAUUUUAGGAUAACCCCACGUACCUCUAUUUCCUAGGAUAAUAGAUUUUACUUGAAGCUUGCGGAUUGGUGAUUCCCAAUAUGUAAUUAUCUUUGAAAACCUACAGUCGAAUCUUGAACUAUUUGGGUUUUUAUUUUGAAACCCUAAGGAGAAUCUUUGAGCACUUUUGAUGAAUAAAGAAGUAUUUUAGGGUCCUUGGAACUGAAUUUCGUGUUUUAGGGCUAAGUAAGGGUGGAAAAGGACCACUUUGUCCCCAAAAUGGAGUGUUUAAGUAACUAGAAAAGAAACAAUAACGGGGAGAUAAGGUUCCCUCAACAUCAAUUAACCUCUAUACAACUGUCUACAAAAAUCUCUAACAAAUGACUGAGUCAAGUAACCGUAUAUAAACUGGGACAAGGCCCCCAGUAGACCCCAAAACUGAAUAUAAGAUAAAAGGACUGUAGGAUAUAAAACCUUCCAAAACAUAGAAGGCUUACCACUUGUUUCUUCAACUCUGUCUGAAUGAUCUACUGAUUCUCUUGAUCCCUAGACUGGGCCUCUGAACCUAAGAGAUUGGAGAGGAGAGGCGGUCAGCAUAAAAGUACUGGCAUGCAGAGAUAUCAAAACAAAACAUAAUAUAUUAAAAAAAUAUAGUUGAGAGCCAUUAUAAAGCAAUUUUGUAUCAAAUCUUUUGAAAACACAUGGGCAUAAUGCAAUAGUUUCUCAACAACAAUGAAAUGCAAUUGAGCUAGGUGGAAUACCCUACAUAAUUUACACCCACUGUCUAACCUCGGUUCCCAUCGAGAUUAAAGUAUAACUGAGGGAGAGACACUCAAGACCACAAAGAAUGGUGUCUCGACCCACUGAUAGUGCCUAAGAUCACUUAGCCUAGGCUCCUACCUAUAGUCCCAAUUUGGGAAUAAGAUGAAGUCAAGUACCCAAGAUCACUUAGCCUGGUACCAAAAUUCCAUGUCGGCAAACACAUUUUCCAACGAUGAGCCCUUACUCUCAAACGCCUUCUUCGGGCAUCCACCUUUCUAAUGUAAAAUUAAUGCAUUCAAAUUUCAUCUAAUUCAAUCACAUAUCAUAUUAUGUAGGGUAUCGUCAUACCCGACUUGCAAGUCCUCAAUAACACUUCCACAUAUUCAUAACCAUAUAAAAACCAAGGUGCUUCAUCAUUUACAAGUAGUGAACAAUAUUUAUUUCAAAUUCAUGCUCUCUUUUGUUGAUCACAUUAUGAUAUGGGGUAUAAAGACAUUAUCAUCGGAAUUUGAAAGUAAUUUAUCAUUCAUAUUUAUCAACCUUCCAUGGAAAAUCUCAAAUCACAUAUGCAUGGUUUCAACCAUUGAAGUAUAUAGGCAAACAAUUCCCAUGACAUAAAGAAAAAUGACUUAGAAAUCAUAUUGAAAGCAAGUUAUUAGCAUUUGAUUGAAAACCCCCAUUUAAAAGCAUGCAUGUUCAUAAAAACUACACCCAUGAGAUUUUAGCAUAACCCCACGUACCUCUAUUUCCAAGGAUAUGAUCUUUCUUGAAGCUUGGGGAUUGGUGAUUCCCAAUAUGUAAUUAUCUUUGAAAACCUACGAUCGAAUCUUGAACUAUUUGGGUUUUUAUUUUGAAACCCUAAGGUGAAUAUUUGAGCACUUUUGAUGAAUGAAGAUGUAUUUUGGGGUCCUUCGAACUGAAUUACGUGUUUUUGGGAUAAGUAAUGGUGGAAAAGGACCAUAUUGUCCCCAAAAUAGAGUGUUUAAGUCACUAGAAUUCUUUACAUAGGCGCCGCCCAUCCCAUUGCCUAUGUUCACAUAGGCGCCGCCUAGGCUAUCUCUUAUAUUUAUAUAGGCGCCACCUAGGCUAUCUCCUAUGUUUACAUAGGCGCCGCCUAGGCUAUUGCCUAUGCUUUCCAGUAGCCAUGGGCGAUUGGUUAGGCGACGCAUAUCACUUUGAAAGGCCAUAACUUCUUGCUCGGGUGUCGGAUUUUAGCCAAAUUGGUAUCGUUGGAAAGAUAACUCUAAUACCCAUCAUUUGACAUAUAGUAAGCUUUCUAAUUCGACAUAUAUAGAGAGUUAUGAUCGAUGGAAGCUAACACACUUUACAACAUCCAUGAAAACUUAGUCGAUCGAAAUAGUUUCAACUCGUCCUUGAGUUGAACGACCUCUAUGGUGUUAAUUCAAGCUUGAAUGGAUUUAGAUGCUACACAAAUAAUUAACAUGCCGUAUUGACAUAGGAUUUUAUGGCUUCGGGAUUAACAAUGCAUCAAAAUCAUGGUCUACAUUAUAGCCCGAAAUGUAGGGCGUUACAAGUACUAGGAUUAGGAAGGUCUAGGCACAUACCUUGAAAGCAAUGCCUUGAAUUUAUUCUCUUGUCCUCCACAGGUAUUUUACAAGGACCUUUCCUUUCAUACAUUAAUUUGGAUGAAUAAGAUUGAUACUUUUGCCUCUUUGUAGGACUUAAUUGGGUAGGUAACUCCUUUAUUCAAUCAAUGGGGUUGGAUGCUUCACUCCUUGUCAUAAAGUAUCCAUCGACUUAUAGGAUUUUGAUUAGGUUACUCUUUUGAGUCAAGUCUUCAUUAACUUUGGAGUCCAUGAAAAAAAACUCAUCUAGGCCUUAAAACUUAUGCUUACGAGAUGUCUUAUUUGAGUCAUCCUUUGGAAGCAUUAUCUCAUUAACCUUUAAGAGAGAAGUAUUGGUACUAGGCAAAGUGCUAGUUCUAUGGUUAUCAUGUAAUAUAAUCAUAGUCUUGAAAAGUUCCCCAUCUAAGUUUCCAUGUCUCCCUCAUUCAAUUUAACCCUUGGCUCUCACAACUCUCCUUCUUGAGCGAAGUUCUCUUCCCCAUUCUUUGCUUCCUCUUUAUCUUCAUCCUUAACUUUAUUAGUUUGACCUUGGUUUAGUGGAGUUUGGGGUAGUUUAGGGAAGGUAUUUUGAGUAUGUCCACUCAAGGAAGCUUGAAUAUUUAGUGGAUAGCAAAGAGUGGAUUUAUAAAUCCUUGAUGAUCAAUGAUGUUAUACAUCCUCACACCAAGUGAAUUUAUCUUAGCAUCCAUCGAAUCAAUUUUAUGGUUGAGAGUUUCAAGGACCGCUAAAAUAGAACUUGUUGAGUGGUUAUCCAUGGGUUGCGAAGUUUCUCCUUCCGCAACCAUUGUAAAGAAAUUCUAAAAAACAAAAAAUAACAAAUAAGUUAGAGUUAAUAGAUCAACCUCACAAGCUCUAAAAGUUCACACCUUUAGUUUAUCUCCCAAUUAGCGUCGGAAAAGUCGUUAACUUUUUUAUACAACAAUGUGAUUUAUUUGUAUCAAUUGUGGCUUGAGGUCAAAAUCGAUUCUUUUUCAAAAGACUCAAGUAAAAAUUGUUGAUAGACUUGAAUCAGUAUCUAACAAUGAAUAGAAAAAGAGAAAAUCUAGUAAGAAAUAGGAUGAAGAAAGAAAAGGACUCGGGAACUAAUCAAUCAACUUAGUAGAUGAAUUACUAUUUGAUGAGUAGUUUAAGAAUCAAAAUAAGAGAUUAGGACUCAAGAAAUUGAAAAAAAAUAAUCAAACCUUGAGAAAAAUGUGUAAUUGAAAUGUUGAAUUGAGUUUGGAGACUUGAAAUUUGCAUUUGGGCCUUGAUUAGCUUUAGGAAGUGGUGAUCUGCAUUGGCCAGCCUUCUCUAGUAGGUGUUUCACAUUUCCAAGGUAGCUUGGACACAACUUAGAGGGAUAACUAUUGUUUUGAGGUGCUGCUACACGUUGGGCGCACCUCUAAUGCACAUGCAAAGCAAGUUGGCCAAAAAAAAUAGCUUGCACCAACGCAUAUACUUCCAAAUGGUCCCCCUUUUGUCCUCACCUUGGAAUCUUCUUAGAAUAUUCUUGGAUGCUUUUGGACAAACAAUUUUUCACAAUUUUCUUUCUUCCUUUUAGAUCAAAAAAUAACUUUUGAGGAAGAUUAAACUAGAAGAUUUGAAUUUCUUCAACAACACCAAGAAAAAUAACAUUUUAUCCAGAGCUCAGAAUGAGUUAAAAUUUUGAACGUAGGCACUUUUCAACCUUCAAACUCAUUCCAAAUAUCAUUUAGCUCAAAUUCUUCCCAAAAUUUUGAGAUUUUUUAAUUCACAUAAAACUUCUUCAACCCAAGCUUCCAACAAAGAUAGGACACUCAAAUAAGCUCUAUUAUUACUCAAAUUUUGUUUAUAGACUCGUUUAGUUUUAGAGAACACAAUUCUAACAUUAGAAUUAUAUGAAAACAUAAAAUCAAAAACACAAAUUUUGAUAUAGGGAUAAAGACUUGAAUAUUAAUGUUUUGGGGAUUUUUGAUUUGAUACUUCUUUUUAUUUUUCUAGAUUUUAAAUAUAAUAACCCCAAGAUUGUCUUCACACGAAUGAAAUCAAGAUCGAAUCUAAUACCAAAUAAUAUAUGAAAAAAGUACAAAAUUGAAAACUAAACUACGAUAUAAAGAUAAAAGGUAAAGAUAGAUAGAGAACAAAUAAUAGAUAGACACAAUGGAUGAAUGAAUUACAUGAAAAGGGUGUAUAAAACCCUAAACCCUCUAUUCAAUGUCAUGCAAAGCUUAGAAGUGGUUCCCUCCGUCCCUUCUUAAGUCAAGACUACUAUUAUCUCCUGGUAGACCUUAUAGGUGUGCUAUAUUUUCUAAAUAUAUAUUCCAGAGUUCUAAGAGGUUAGAUAUGUGAUUCUUUAUUCUAUAUUAAUACUUGGGAGAUGUUCUUCCUGUUCAAGUCCAAUAAUUUAUGAUAUUUCAUUUGGUUUAAGUUCGGCCAUUUAUGGUAUUUAUUCCAGUUCAAGUCUGAUGAUUUAUGCUAUUUAGUUGUGGUUAGUGUUCGGCAUUGAGAGAUUAUCUAUCAUGGCUAUGGAGCUAAUUUGACUUUGGUGAUUUCGUUAUGGAUGGAUUCACGGUUAUGAUUUUAAGAUAUGGCUAUUUGGUAUAAUUCUAUUUAUUAAUUCCCUUUUGAUUGUACCCCAUCAGUUUAUGGGGGCCUGUAUUAGGUUAUUUACUUUCCCAUACUUACUGGGUCAUAAGGGCUAGUUUUUUAUACUUAUGUUGUGAGUAAGCUCAAUCGGACGAUGAUGUAUAUUUAGUACCCAUGGCAUUGGUAAUCUUACUACACCUUUGAACCUUUUUAAUAUAGAUUCAAGUACUAUUUAUCACUGUUGAUAUCGUGAUUUGUGUUGGUUAGAGUUUGGAGGGGGUGUGCUCUUGGAGAAGGAUUUGACCUCUUCUUCUUCGUUUAUUUUUACUUAGUCUUUCUACUUUUGAGAUUUAUUUAUAUUUGACAAUUAUAGUACUUGUACGCUUUUGGUUUAGUGCCUCUGGCACCACACUACUAGGUCAUGGGAUUGUUAUAAUCGUAUUUAUCUUUCAUCUUAUUAUUGUUCCAUGAUUUGUUAUUAUAAGUAGUUUACUUUCAUAAUUCUAUCAUUUAUACCACUUUCAAAAAAAUUAUCCCAUUGCUUAGAGCAUCCGGCAACGGUUUGGCAUACCUAGUGGUGGGAUAAAGUAGGUGCCAUCAUGACCCAUAAAUCGGGUCGUGAUAGUGUGAGCUACCAUUGGGGAAAUCUUAUGCUUGCAGGUUGCGUGAUCAUAGUUUUUCCUUAUUUUAUUUUAUACCUUUCUCAGUUGGCUAUAAUACCGUCUGAAUACAAAUGGACUGUACUCACUCCUACAGUGCCCUUUAAGUGCAGUUCCUAGCAUAAGUACGACAUGUGAAGGUUGAUUUUGUGUUAUUAAGUAGGUGAUUUUGAGGUACUAGCAUGCUCUAGGCUUUCAGAGUCUACUCUAGACCUCUCAUUAUAUAUUUUAGAUAUCUUUAUUUGUUUUUAAAGACAAAUAAUUGUAUCUUUGGUAUUUUUAGGUGUAUUUAUUCGAUGGUCUGCACCUUUUACAGUAGACGUUGGGAUUAUGAUAUCUUUUAUUUAGACUUAUGCAUAUUUUUCAUAUUUGUUGACCUAACUUUAUUCUAGAAGUCUUGGCUUGACUUAUUUGUUAUUAUUUAGUAUCUUAUUUCCUCUUAGGGUGCUUGGCUUACUAUCAAGGCUAGGUCACGAUAGUGCUAACAUGACCUUGAUUUAUUUGGGUCAUAACAAAUUAGUGUCAAAGUGCUAGGUUCAUCAGUCUCAUAAGUAUAAGAAAAUGAUGUCUAGUAAAGUCUCACAGAUCGAUACAUAAAUAUCUGUAUCUAUCUUUGGGAGACUAUAAGAUUUUAUUGGAAAAACUUCUCAAAUUUGAUUCCUUGUUGUGCGGGUUAUCAUACCCAAUGUUCUAAAUUUUUAUUCCAUUCUUUUAUGCAUAUAUAGUGGGAACUAGGUCUAGGAUACAGAAAUGUUCAGCCGACAUCUGAUGUGGGAACGCAGUUAAAGCAUAAGGUAGGGGUCGUGGUUGACCCAGAGGUAGAGGACGGGCACAAAAAGCUUCCCCAGCCAGAGGAUGUGGUAGGGAGGCCACUCCUAAGCGUAAGGUUGUGCAUACCAUAGAUGAUUAUCUGAUAGGCGGUGUGAGUCUUCUUAGGUUCCAUAGAGUUCAACUGAUACCAAUGCUUCAGAAAUUUUUUAUUUUCCUUUUGAGUUGCUCAAAGGGUGUUCCAUUGAUUGUACUUGGUAUUCCUUGAUGAUGCUUAAAUUACACCCUUAAGAUGUAAGUGAUCAUCGUCUAUAUAGUAACCCAAUGGGGAUAAAAUACUCAAGGGAGUAAAUAUAAGUAUUUCAAUACUUAAAAGUGUGAGAAAUCAACUAGGAGUUAAUCCAUAAUGUAUAAUAAAGAAAUAUGAAAAUAUAAUGAUGGGGGGGGGGGUUGUUUAAUUGUCUUUAACUAUAACAUUUUUUGUUGUUUUGAGAACCCUUAAGAUGAUUCUUGGGAUGUAGGUCAGGUGCAUAUCCAGUGUUGUGUUUGUCCAAUUUUUGCCACCUGCGUGUGCAUGUUCCUCAGUCAUCCUCCAAACAAAUCAUUCUUAGGAUUUCCAUUAGAAUACUCUCAAGCAAGGUUCAAAACUACACAUAUAUAUGGGAAUUAUUCAAAAAUCUCACCAUACAACGCAUCAUACUCAUAUAGCAAAAAAUUAGUCUCUCAACCAAAUUUAGAAAUUUGAGCUUAAUAAGUUACUACGAGUCAAAGACAUCCUUGUAAAGAGAGAACAAACAUUGAAUUUAAUGGUCACACUCAAGAGAAAACUCAUACACAACCAUUUUCUUUUUCAAAACGGAGACCAUAUUUUUUGUUUUUCUAAAUAUCAUUUCAUUCCUUGAUAAUGACAUUUUUACAGAAUUUUUGAACUUUUGCCUACUCCUAAUUGACUCAAAAGACUAGGUACUUCACCAAAAUCCGUCAUGGGCAAAAUACAACUCGGUUCUACAAAGAAACUAAGAUUAAAAAAAAGGGAAAGUUUAAAAAGAAAGAAUAAAAAAUUUGGCUAGUUAGGAAAGAAUCGAGUUUUGAAGAAAACCCUUGAAGUUUAUUGGAAACGUAUAUAAAAAGAUGAUUAGAACAAUAUAUAACAACUUUGUAAGCAUCACCCAAAAUGUACCAUCAAUACCAAUGCAAUAACAAUCAGCUAUCAUAUUUAUAUUAAGCACAUGAAAUAAGCUCGACAAGGGAAAUAUCCAACAUCAUCACUAAUAUUAUCAACAAGGGUCAAAUCCGUAUCAAUGUUAAUCAAGAAGAACAAGCCCCAUAAGGGCUAAAUAAAAAUUAGCAUCAAAAUUUAAAAUCUAAAUGAACAUCAAAUGUAAUAAUAAAGUAUGUCUAUACAAUCCAUCCAACCAAUUCCAUUAAAAAAAUCAAUAGGUACUAACAAUCUAAUGUAGUAUAAGGAUUCCUCACCCCUUACUGUAAAUAAUUACAUUGUCACCAAUGGAAAAAUAAAAAGAUAUUUGGGGAAGGUAAAGACUCCCUGUGGCGCACUAGGUGCUUGGGUCCAUGUUAGUUGAUGUCCGUAUCAUCUCACAAGGAGCCGCAUAAGAUAAGGCUCCUCUAAUUGGGUCCACUACAAAAGGUUAUCUCAUCAUCAUGUCAUGAGCAAGAAUUAGCCCCAACCAUCUGUGCAUGCUUGAUGUACAUCAAAUUGACACUACUUCAAGAUAGUUUUUCACAAGAAGUUAAGCUAGGGACCUUCAUGCAUUUCAAGAUUUAUGGAUAAGGAUGGAAUCUUUAGAAGGCUCCAAUAUUGAUGAAAUGAAGAUAUUUAAUAUUCUAGGUUCCUACCAUUUAAAUUAACUGGUAAUUUAAAUGAAGGGCAAUUUGGUCUUUGUUUACUUUUUUGACCCUUAGUAUAAAUAGUUAGCUAUUAGGGUUUGAACCAUUAGUUUUUGACGAUUGGAUAUUUGUGCCUCCUUGAGAGUUUGAUAACUCUUUAUUGAUUUUCAACACUUUACUAGGAUUUUCAUGAAAGGUUCUAACUUCUUGAGGAUUCUAAUAGAUUAGGUGUUUUUAGUUCUCAAUUGACUGGUGUUUUUGUUAGUUUCACCUAAACAUCUUUCAAUUGUUUGAAUUUAAUUGUGUCUAUCUUUCUUUAACUUUUAUCUGUAAUUUGUAUCUUUCUUCUAUUUACUUGUUUCAUAUCAAAUUGGUAUCUAGAGCUUAGAUUAAAUUUGUUUUCACAAACCUGAAUUUUGGGUUUGGAUAUUUUCAAACAAACAAAAAAAAUUCAAAAACAAAAUCAAAUUUGAUUGAAUGUUGUUUGAUAUUAUUCCUUGAGUUAAAUCUUGUUAUUUUAUAGUUGAAUUUUUUUAAAAAAAAUACAUGACAAAAAAAAAAUUAAAAGUCAUGUUGAAAAAGAAACUUGAAAAUUUGUUUUGUUGAUUUGGUGCUUGGUUUAAGAAAUUGUUGGUAAAGUUGUGGGAAAGUUAUAUCUCAAAUUCGAGCUUAUUUUCAUGGGUAUUGAAGAAGAUGAAUUUGAUAAUUACAAAAUAGUUCAAUCUUCCAAACUUGUUUCUUCUUUUCUUGUUAAUUCUAACUAGUUUUACUUGAGUAUUAAUUCAUACUUAAUGUUAAAGUAGUUUUUGUCCGUUUAAUUUAUUUGUAUCAAUUUUUUACGUGCUUUUUUUCUUUCAUUUCAUUAUAUACUUAUUUAUUUCCUUUUCUGUUAGUUUUAAUUGUCCAUUCUUGAUUAUAUAAACUUUACACUUUCCCGAAGAAGUAAUACUACUUGUGAAUUAUUUGACUAUGUUGACUCUCAACCUUGGGUUAUUCAAGAGUGGUAACAUGCAAGAGUGAGGUGAGCUCAUUUGAGGAUAACCUUAGAAUUAUACACGAGUGUGAGUGACAAAAAGAGGGAAACAUGAUAUGAGUAAGUGGUGAGGAACUCUUUCUACUAAUUUUUUAUUUAUUUUGUAGGUACAAUGACUCAAUUGGAGGGAGAAUCCUCUAGAAAAAUGGAAAUUUUGCUUCUAAAGCUAUUGGAAGAAAUGAAAGAAAUGAAAGGAAAAUUAGUAGCUAUGGAUAGAAUGGUGAGAAAUCAAGAAAAAGCAAAGCAACCACUUGAGGUUUUCAAUACCAUUGGUCAACUUGAUGAGGGAUCGAUUAAGACUCCACUUGAUACAACUCCAUCCCACAUGGUAGUGCAAGAUACCCUAUAUCCUAAUUCAACAUUACCAAAAGUUUGCAAUCAAGCAACACUUCAAAAAGGGGGAAAUCAACAAAGAAAUAUUCCACCAUAAGCCAAUAGAAAUUAAAUGAGAUCCCAACAUAACCUUGAAGAGCAUGAUUUAUUUUAUGGUCAUAAUUAUGAUUAUGGAGUCAAUGAUCAAGUUCAAUAAGAAAGUUUAGGUGGGAGAUAAAGAAUAUGGGCAAAUAAAGGGUGGUAUCCGGUUGAUGGUAGAAAAUAUAAUACAAGGAAUGAUGAUGAAGAUCAAGGAUUCAACAACAUCAAUAUCAAUCUUCCAUUCUUUAAAGAAAGUAGUGACCCAAAUGUAUAUCUUUAUUGGAUUGGGAAACUUGGAAGGCAAUAUAAUCUCAAGAAAGUUAGUGAUGUUAAAAAAGGUGAAUUAGGCUAUAAAUCACCUUAAGGGUUUUACUUCUACAUGGUGGGAGAAAAUUAAAAGAGAUGCUUUGGUGAAUAGAGACUUUGUUACAAGUUGGAAUGACAUGUAAUGGUGUAUGAGAGAAAGAUUUGUGGGUUAAGAUUAUGAGCAAAAUACACUUAAGAAGUAUUAUAAUCUUCAAUAAGGAAGUAACACUGUGGAAGAGUAUUAUGAGGACCUCUAUCAUACUAGGCUUUGAGCUAAUGUCAUUGAUAAAGAGGUAAAACUUGUUGCUAGAUUUAUCUCAGGCUUAAAUAAGGAGGUAACGCAACCAUUGGAAUUGCAUCAGUAUUCUACUUUAGAUAAAGUUUAUCAAAUGGCACUUAAAGUGGAGGACGAUAAAAAGGAAAACAAGUCAAAGGUGCAAUCUUCUUCUUCUUUUUGGGAUAAAAACAAGGAUGCUUGUAAAUUAUCUCCUACCUGGAACAAAUCCAAAGGUGCAAAGCAAGAAUUGAAGUCCAACUUGGACAAAGGAAAAUCAAAGAUGGACUAAAAGGAUAGACGUAACAAGGCUAAACUUAAAACUCCAUAUAAAAUAUAGUUUUUAAAAUGUCAAUGAUAUGGUCAUAAAGCUAAGGAGUGUCCAAGUAGAAGAACUAUCAUUGCCUCUAAUGAUGGUGGUUAUCAAACUGAAGAUAAAUCUAUAGAUUACUACGUAUAGCAUAAUAUUAAUAAUGAGUUUAUGGGAGAAUGUGAUGGACAAGAAAUUAAUGAUGAUCGAAAACUUUUUCUUAUUGUGAGGAGAAGUAUGAGUGCUCUGGCGAAGGAGGAACUUGAUCAAAGGGAGAACUUGUUUCUGAAUAGGUGUAGAGUUCAAGAGCAAUUAUGCUUCUUUAUCAUUGAUAGUGGAAUUUGUGUCAAUGUUGCUAGUGUAUCUAUGGUAGAAUAAUUGAAAGUUCCAACAAGAAGGCAUCCAAAACCUUAUAGAUUGAAAUGGCUCAACGAAUGUGGUGAAAUCAAGGUGACCAAUAGAGUAUUGAUAAAAUUCAAGGUUGGAAGUUAUCAUGAUAAAGUGCUUUGUGAUGUUGUACCAAUGCAAGCUUGUCAUUUAUUGUCGGGGAGUCCAUAUGAAUAUGAUCUGGGGGAUAAACAUGAUGGAAAGUCUAAUAAAUGUGCAUUUGUUUAGGAUGGUAAAAAUCAAAUUCUUAACCCACUUUCACCUUUUCAAGUGAGUUAAAAAUAUAGAAAAAUAGGAGAGUUGAAAGAAAAACUUGAGAGAGAAAAGAAAGGGAAUAGUAAGGAAGCAAAAAAUAAUAAAUCAAGAGAGAAAAAAGGAGAGGUUGAUAGCUUAAGAACGAAUGAGUUAUCACAAAAAAAAGUGGUGAACAAGAAAAACAAAAAAAUAAGAAAAGAUAAAAUUUGCAUGAUUUUACAAAAUCAACAGAGCAUGAAAGAGCUAAACAUUGAGGAUUCUACUCAAGUCAUAUUUAUUAAACCUAAAACUUAUUCUUUACUUGCUAAUAAUGAACUAACCUUUUUAUCUUUGCAGAGUCUUCUCUUAUUUGUUGCAGGAUUAUGAGGGUCUAUUUUUGGAAGAAUACCAAGUGGGUUUCCGCAUUUGAGAGGAACAGAGCAUGAAAUUGACUUUAUGAUGGGUUCUCAAAUACCCAACAAAGGAACUUAUAGGAGAAAUUCUCAAAAUAUCAAUGAAUUUUAAAGACAAGUGGAAGAAUUCUUGAAUAAUGGUUUGGUGAGAGAAAGCAUAAGUCCACGUUGGUUACUGUAAUUCUAUUACCCAAGAAGGAUAGAUCAUGGAGGAUGUGUGCAGAUUGUCGUACUAUCUAUAAAAUUAUGGUAAAAUAUCGAUAUCCUAUUCCUAGACUUGAUGAAAGCUAGAUGAAUUGUGUGGUUCUACCUUAUUUAAAAAAUUUAUUUGAGAAGUGAAUACCAUCAAAUUUGAAUGAAAUCCAAAGAUUAACGGAAAACCUCUUUCAAAACUAAGCUUAGAUUAUAUGAGUGGAUGGUGAUGCCUUUUGGGCUAACCAAUGCAACAAGAACUUUUAGGCAAUUAAUGAACCAUAUGCUUAAGUCAUUUAUUAAUAAUUUUGUUGUGGUUUAUUUUGAUGAUAUUUUUGUUUAUAGAAAGUGUUUGGAUAAUCUUGUGCAAUAUUUGAGAAUGAUAUUUGAUGUGUUGAGAAAUGAAAUAUUGUAUGUAAAUUUUAAAAAGUGUUCUUUUUGUAUGGACAGUGUUGUUUUCCUUGGGUUCAUUAUGAGUUAAGGUGGAGUUGAGGUGGAUGAUGAAAAAAUAGAUGCUAUUAGAAGUUGGCUAACUCUUAAGUCCAUUAGUGAGGUUAGAAGCUUUUACAGAUUGACAAGAUUUUAUAUAAGGUUUGUGAAAGGUUUUAGUUCUUUAGUCGCUCCUCUAACAGAGGUCAUUAACAAGGAUAAGCCUUUUAUUUGGGGUAGAAAACAAGAGGAAGCCUUUAGAAUAUUGAAGAUAAACUUAGUUCUACUCCAUCACUUCAACUUCCCCACUUUGUUAAGAUAUUUAAAAGUGAGUGUGAUGCUAGUGGAUUAGGCAUUGGUGCGGUCUUAAUGCAAUAAGGGAAACCUAUAGCAUACUUUAAUGAGAAAUUAUGAGGAGCUCUAUUGCAAUACUCUACCUAUGACAAGGAGCUUUAUGCCCAAAUGAGAGCUUUAGCGAAUUGGAAACAUUAUUUAUGGCAUAAGGAGUUUAUGAUUAGAACUGAUCAUGAGGCUUUGAAGCAUAUUAGCGCCAAAAUAAGCUGAAUAAUAGACAUGGCAAGUGGAUAGAGUUCAUUGAGUUUUUUCCAUAUUUGAUUAAUUAUAAGCAAGGUAAAGAGAAUAUUGUGGCGGAUGCUUUAUCUAGAAGAUAUGCAUUGAUGAUGACUUCUAGGUUGAUGGGUUUUGAGAGUUUGAAGGAGUUAUAUUCUAAUGAUGAUGAUUUUGGAAAAUUCCUUGGAGUGUGUCAAGUGUGCUUGAAUAGGGGUGUGCAAGUUGUUAAGGAAAGAAAUAAAGUUAGAACUCCUAAGUUUGAAUUGAAGGAGGGCUACUUGUUUAGAAAUGGAAAACUAUGUGUGCCCAUGUAUUCAUGGAGAGAGUUAUUGGUGUAAGAGGCACGCAAUGGAGGUUUUAUGGGUUAUUUUGGAGUGUCAAAAACCUUAGCUAUUCUUAGUGAGCAUUUAUUUUGGCCUAAAAUAAUAAGAGAUGUCGAAAAAAUUUGUGCUAGGUGUUUGUAUUGUAAGAAUGCUAAAUAUUGUACCCAACCCCAUAGCUUGUAUAUUCCUUUGCCUAUUCCUAUCGAACCUUUGCUAGAUAUUUCCAUGGAUUUGGUUGUUGGCCUCCCAAGGACUACGAAGGGUAAGGAUAGAAACUUUGUUAUUGUGGAUAGAUUUUCAAAAAUGGCACAAUUUAUUGCUUGUCAUAAAAGUAAUGAUACGUUUCAUAUUUCUACUUUAUUUAUUCAUAAUGUGAUAAAAUUGCAUGGUUUUCCCCAAAUAAUUGUUAGCGAUAGAGAUUCAAAUUUCUUAGUUAUUUUUGUAGGUGCUUGUGGGGAAAUUUGGGAACCAAAUCGCUAUUUUCUACUUCUUGUCAUCCUCAAAUGGAUGGUCAAACUGAGGUGGUUAAUAGAAAUUUAGGUAACAUGCAUAGAGCUAUGGUUAAAGGAAAGUUUACUUCUUGGGAGGAUCAAAUACGAUUAAUUGAGCUUGCAUAUAAUAGAACUAUUCAUAGAUCUAUUGGUAUAACCCCGUUUGAGUGUGUUUAUGGCUUUAAUCCCUUGAUUCCAUUGGAUUUAACUCCUUGCCCAAAGAUAUUAUUGUGAGUGUAGAUGCAAAAGUUAAGGAAAAAGAUAUGAAGAGCAUACAUGAGAAACUAAGAUUGCAAAUUGAGAAGGCCAACAAAGAUUAAACCAAAAGAGCUAACAAAGGAUGAAAAAGUUACUUUUGUACCCGGCGAUUGGGUAUGCGUUCAGUUUUAUAAAGAAAGGUUUUCAAGAAAAAUGAAGAACAAGCUUAUACCAAGAAGAGAUAGACCUUUUCAAGUGCUUGAGAAGAUUGGAGAUAAUGCUUAGAAAGUAGACUUACCAAGUGAGUAUUUGGUCCAUAAUAUUUUUCAAUGUUAGUGAUUUAUCUCCUUUUGAUAUAGGAUUGUCCAAUUUGAGGAUGAAUUCUUUUGAAGAAGAGGAGAGUGAUGUACAUCAAAGUGACACUACUUCAAGAAAGCCUUUCACAAGAAGUCAAGCUAAGGACCUUCAAGCAUUUCAAGCUUUAUGCAUGAAAAUGGAAUCUUUGGAAGGCUCUAAUAUGGAUGACAUGAAGAUAUAUAAUAUUCUAAGUGUCUACCAUUUAAAUUAACUUGUAAUUUAAAUGAAGGACAAUUUGGUCUUUCUUUACUUCUUUUAACCCUUAAUGUAAAUAGUUAGCUAUUAGGGUUUGAACCAUAAGUUUUUGAAGAUUGGAUAGUUGUGCCUCCUUGAGAGCUUGACAACUCUUUGUUGAUUUUCAACACUUUCAUAAUUUGCAAGUAAGAUUCUACCUUCUUGAGGAUUCUAAUAGAUUAGGUGCUUUUAGUUCCUAAUUGAGUGGUAUUUUUGUUAGUUUCAUCAUUACAUCUUUCAAUUGUUUGAAUCUAAUUGUGUCUAUCUUUCUUUAACUUUUAUCUUCAACUUGUAUCUUUCUUCUAUUUUUCUGUUUCACAUCAAAUUGUUAUCAAGAGCAUGGAUUAGAUUUGUUUUCACAAAGCUAAAUCUUGGGUUUGGAUAUUUUCAAACAAACAAAAAAUAAAUAAAUUUGAUUGAAUGUUGUUUGAUAUUAUUCCUUGAGUUACAUGUUGUUGUUCUCUAGUUGAAAAUUUUUUAAAAAAAAUACAUGACAAAAAAAAUUAAAAGUCAUAUUGAAUAAGAAACUUGAAAAAUAUGUUUUCUUGAUUUUGUGUUUGGUUGAAGAAAUUGUUGAUUAGAAGUUAUUGGUAAAGUUGUUGGGAAGUUAUAUCUCAAAUUUGAGCUCAUUUUCUUGGGUAUUGAAGAAUAUGAAUUUGAUAAUUACAAAAUAGUUCAAUCUUUCAAACUUUUUUCUUCUUUUCUUGUUAAUUCUAGCUAGUUUGCUUUGAGUAGUAAUUCAUACUUAAUGUUAAACUAGUUUUUGUUUGUUUAAUUUAUUCGUGUCAAUUUUUACAUGCUUUUUUCUUUCAUUUCAUUGUAUUCUUAUUUGUUUCCUUCGUCCCUUAGUUUUAAUUGUCCAUUUUUUAUUACAUAAACUUCGCACUAUCCCAAAGAAAUAAUACUACUCAUGAAUUAUUUGACGGUGUGGACUCUCAACCAUUAGUUAUUCAAGAGUGCUAACAAGCAAGAGAGAGGUGAGUUCAUUUGAGGGUGGCAUCAGAAUGAUACACGAGUGUGAGUGACAAAAAGAGGGAAACAUGAUGUGAGUGGGUGGUGAGAAACUCUUUCUACUAUCUUUUUAUUUAUUUUGUAGGUACAAUGACUCAAUUGGUGGGAGAUUCCUUUAGAAAAAUAAUUUUUUUUUUCAAAAGCUAUUGGAGAAAAUGAAGGGAAAAUUACAAGAUGUGGAUAGCAUGGUGAGAAAUCAAGAAAUAGCAAAUCAACGACUUGAGGUUUUCAAUCCCAUUGGUCAACAUGAUGAGGGAUCGAGUAAGACUCCUCUUUAUACAACUCUAUCCCACAUGGUAGUGCAAUAUACCCUCUUUUCUAUUGCCAUUUUACAAAAAGUUUGAAAUUAAGCAGCACUUCCAAAGGGGGGAAAUCAACAAAGAAAUAUUCCACCACAAGCCAAUCUAACUAAAAUGAGAGCCCAACAUAACCUUAAAGAGCAUGAUUCUUCUGAUAGUGAUAAUUAUGAUUAUGGAGUCAAUGAUCAAGUUCAGCAAGAAAGGCUAGGUGGGAGAGGAAAAACAGGGGCAAAUAGAGGGUGGUAUCCGAUUGAUGGUAGAGAAUACAAUAGAAGGAAUGAAGAUGAAGAUCGAGGAUUCAACAACAUCAAUAUCAAUCUUCCAUUCUUCAAAGAAAGUAGUGACCCGAAUGAAUACCUGGAUUGGAUUAUGAAACUUGCAAGGCAAUAUAAUCUCAAGAAUGUUAGUGAUGUUAAAAAGGUGAAUUAUGCUAUAAGUCACCUUGAGGUUUUUGCUUCUACAUCGUGGGAGAAAAUUGAAAAGAUGCUUUGGUGAAUAAAGACUUUGUUACAAGUUGGAAUGACAUGAAAAGGCAUAUAAGAGAAAGGUUUGUGGGUUAAUAUUAUGAGCAAAAUACACUCAAGAAGUAUAACAAUCUUCAACAAGGAAGUAAGAGUAUGAAAGAGUAUUAUGAGGACCUAGAUCAUACUAGGCUUUGAUCUAAUGUCAAUAAUGAAGAUGUGAAACUUGUGGCUAGAUUUAUCUCAGGCUUAAAUAAGGAGGUAAGGCAACUAUUGGAAUUGCAUCAUUUUUCUGCUUUAUAUGAAACUUAUCAAAUGGCACUUAAGGUGGAGGGCUAUAAAAAGGAAAACAAAUGAAAGGUGCAAUCUUCUUCUUCUUUAUAGGCUAAAAAUAAGGAAGCUUGGAAAUUAUCUCCCGCUUUGAACAAAUCCAAAGGUGCAAAGAAAGAAUUAAAGUCCAACUUGGACAAAGACAAAUCAAAGAUAGACAACAAGGAUGGAGGUAACAAAGCUAAACUUUAAACUCCAUCUAAAAUAUAGUUUUUUAAAUGUCAAGGAUAUAGUCAUAAAUCAAAUGAGUGUCCAAAUAAAAGAACUAAUAUUGCAUUGAAUGGUGGUGGUAAUCAAAUUAAAGAUGAAUACAUGUAGGAUAAUAGUAGUGAUGAGUUUAUGGGAUAAGGUGAUGGAGAAGAAAUUAAUGAUGAUGGAAAACUUGUUCUUGUUGUGAGGAGACGUAUGAGUACUCUAGCGAGGGAGGAUCUCGAUCAAAGGGAGAACUUGUUUAAGAAUUGGUGUAGAGUUCAAGAGAAAUUAUGUUUCUUUAUCAUUGAUAUUGGAAAUUAUGUGAAUGUUGCUACUGUAUCUAUGGUAGAACAAUUGAAACUUCCAAUAAGAAGGCAUCCAAAACCUUAUAGAUUUCAAUGGAUCAACGAAUGUUGUUAACUUAAGGUGACUAAGCGAGUUUUUAUAAAAUUCAAGGUUGGAUGUUAUCAUGAGGAAGUGCUUUGUGAUGUUGUCCCAAUACAAACUUUUUAUUUAUUGUUAGGGAGGCCAUGGGAAUAUGAUGUGGGGGGUAAACAUGAUGGGAAUUCAAAUAAAUAUGCAUUUGUUAAGGAUGGUAAAAAUCAAAUUCUUAACCUACUUUCUCCUUUUCAAGUGAGUGAGAAAUAUAUAACAAUAGGAGAGUUGAUAGAAAAACUUGAGAGAGAAAAGAAAGAGAAGAAUAAGGGAGCAAAAAAUGAUAACUUAAGAGAGGAAAAAGGAGUGGUUGAGAGCUCAAGUGAGAAUGAGUUAUUACCAAAAAAAAAGAGGUGAUCAAGAAAAAAACAUAGAUAAAAAAAUGAUAAAAUGUGCAUGAUUUUGCAAAAUCAAGAGAGCAUGAAAGAGAUAAACAUUAAGGAUGCUACUCAAGUCAUAUUUUUUAAACUGAAAAGUUAUUAUUUACUUUCAAAUAAUGAACUAAACUCUUUAUCUUUGCCAAUUUUUGUCUCUUAGUUGUUGUAAGAUUAUGAAGAAUUAUUUCCAAAAGAAAUACCAAGUGGGUUGCCGCCCUUGAGAGAAAUAGAGUAUGAUAUUGACAUUUUGUCAGGUUCUCAAAUAUCCAACAAAGCAACUUAUAAGAUAAAUCCUCAAGAUACCAAAUAAUUACAAAGACAAGUGGGAGAAAUUGUGAAUAAAGGUUUGGUGAGAGAAUGUGUAAAUCCAUAUGCAGUGCUUGUAAUUCUAGUACCCAACAAGGAUGGGACAUAGAGGAUGUGUGUACAUUGCCGUGCUAUUAAUAAAAUUAUGGUAAAAUAUCGAUGUCCCAUUCCUAUACUUGAUCAUAUUCUAGAUAAAUUAUUUAGUUCUACCUUAUUUUAUAAAAUUGAUUUGAGAAGCGAUACCAUCAAAUUCGGAGAUAAAUGGAAAAGCGCUUUCAAAACUAAGUUUGGAUUAUAUGAGUGGAUGGUGAUGCCUUUUGGGAUAAGCAAUGAACCAAACACUUUUAUUCAAUUAAUGAACCAUGAACUUAAGUCAUUUAUUAAUAAUUUUAUUGUGGUUUAGUUUGAUGAUAUUUUGGUUUAUAGCGAGAGUUUGGAUAAUCAUAUGUAACAUUUGAGAAUGAUAUUUGAUGUGUUAAGAAAUGAAAAAUUGUAUGUGAAUUUUAAAAAGUGUUUUUUUUGUGUGGACCAUGUUGUUUUCCUUGGCUUCAUUGUAAGUUCAAUAGGAGUUGAGGUGGAUGAAGAAAAGGUAGAGGCUAUUAAAAGUUGGCCAACUCCUAAGUCCAUUAGUGAUGUUCGAAGCUUUCAUGGGUUUGCAAGCUUUUAUAGGAGAUUUGUGAAGGUUUUAGUUACUUAGCCAUUCUUUUAACUGAGGUCAUUAACAAGGAUAAGUCAUUCAUUUGGGGUAGAAAACAAGAGAAAGCCUUUAGAAUCUUGAAAGAGAAACUUAGUUCCACUCUUUUACUUCAACUUCCCAACAUUGAGAAGUUAUUUUAAAUUGAGUGUAUUUCUAGUGGAGUAGGCAUUGGUGCAGUCUAAAUACAAGAAGGGAAACCCAUAGCAUACUUUAGUGAGAAAUUAAGAGGAGCUCCAUUGCAAUACUCUACCUAUGACAAGGAACUCUAUGCCCUAGUGAGAGCUUUAGCAAAUUGGCAACAUUAUUUGUCGUAUAAGGAGUUUGUGAUUAGAACUGAUUAUGAGGAUUUGAAGAAUAUUAGGGUCCAAAAUAUGCUUAAUCAAAGACAUGCCAAGUGGCUAGAGUUCAUUGAGUCUUUUCCAAAUGUGAUAAAUUAAAAGCAAGUUAAAUAGAAUAUUAUGGUGGAUAGUUUAUGUAGAAGAUAUACAAUGAUGAAUACCCUAACUUCUACAUUCAUGGGUUUUGAGAGUUUAAAGGAGUUGCUGAUUUUGGAAAAUUCUUUGGAGAGUGUCAAGUGAGAUUGAAUGGGUGUGUGCAAGUUGUUUAGAAGGGAAAUAAAGUUAGAAUUAUGUGUCCAUGUCUUUAUGGAGAGAGUUAUUGGUGAAAGAGGCACAAAAUGGAGGUUGAUAGGUCAUUUUGGAGUGUCAAAAAACUUAGCUAUUCUUAGUGAACAAUUUUUUGGCUUAGAAUGAUAAGAGGUUGUAAUAACCCUUCAAUUCAUUUUCCAUAUUUAUGCUUAUAACCAUUUGAGCUUAUCCGUAGCUUCCUAAGUCAUUUAUGACUUCCUAGGACUGACGGUUCAAUUAACGGGUAGUUCGUGUGGUUUUUAGAGCCCUGUUUAAAAGUCUUUGCUAGUUCCAAAUGGCCACCGAGCAAAAAAUUCAGCGAAAUAAUCUUGAAUGAAAAUUUUGAUGGCUCCAGCAGAUCCAAAAUAUUGAUUUUAAUCUAGGAAGACCUUUGUUUUGGGUCCCACUUUACCCGAGCUCAUUUCGACCUAUUGGCCAGAAAGUUAAAAAUUAGAAGGAAUGAGUGUGGGACCCAUAUUUGAUUAAAAUGACCUCGAAUGGAAAAUUCAGCUUCUCCAUCGCGUUUAAAAUAUUGAAUUUAGGCUAGGGAGUUCCUUGUUUCAGGUCCCAAGGCUCCCAAACUUAUUUUGGGCUAUUGAGAGAAAUUUAUGAAAAAUGAUGAAAGUGUAGGUGUGGGCUCCACUUUUCAGCCAAAACAAUCUCAAAUAAAAGUUUUCAAUAUUGCAAUGGAUUUGAAAUGUUGUUUACACUCAAAAUUCGUUAUUGGAUCAUGUUAUAUGGAUUUUGGAUUAGUUUGGAGGGUCAAAAACUUAAAAAUGAGUUUGCUGUCAUCUGGUGCAACCGCGAUUGCUACCAAGAUUGUGCGAUCACAGCCCGUAUGACCGCGAUAGUGGCAUCUGUGAACCUGUAGGGGCUACAUAAAGGUCCCCAGACAUGUUUGGUCCAUUUUUCCUUUACCAUUUAGACGUAGAAGCCCCAAAAUAAGGGUAAUAACUCAAAAUUGGUCAUGGGGGGUGACUGCCGCCGAAUUAUCUUCUUGUAUCAUUAUUAUAUUUAUAAUUAAUGAAAGAGUUCCUUGAAUUCAUGCUUGAAUUUCUUAGUUUGGACCCCAAAGUCCAAUUUAGCUUAGGGUUUGAUUUUAGGUUAAUGUAUGCUUAGUUUACACCCAUUCUUUGAGGGUUAUGAUUCCCUAUUCAUGUGUGAACAUUGGGUUGGUCUCAGAAAAUCAUUUUCCAUAUGUGGGACCAAUGUGGGGUUUUGGUGUUAUUUUGGGACCCAAAUCAUAACAGUACAAUAUGUUUUUCAUUAGACUGGUAUUGAUAAGUAGAUUAUGAAUUUGUUAGUAGGAUGUCCUUUUGAGGAUUGUAAUGUGAAAACAAGCGUAUGGUGCCUGAUUUGGGAUUUUUUAGUUCGGCUUUGAGGUAGGCUUCUGUCUACUCUUCUUCAUGGAUGAUGUAUGAUAUAUAUUGCGUGUGAAUGUGAAUGUUAAGAUUGAUAUUGGAUAGAAUGACUUAGUAUUGAAUAUACAUAUCAGUUUGGGGAUUAGAUAGGGUUGUUGACCCAUUGGUUCAAUUUCUUAAUACCCUUGCAGAAUCCUAUUGCCUUCUCACUAUUUUGGGUAAAUUUGUAGCAUGGAUAUAAUAUAAUUCUAUGCUUGGAAUAUGGUUUUAGCAUUUGAAGCAUAAUUUGUAUAUUUAGCCUUAAUGGGCUAGUGUGAUAGUUUUUGAGCAGUGAGUUUGGUAGAGUUAACUUGAGUACCAUUGUUUCUAGUUAAAGUUGCUAUAUUAUGCUUGAAUAUGGCUUACUUGAUAUCUAGAAAAAGAACUAGAUACCGUAUCCUAGUUUGGGACAUAGUAUGCCUCAUUAUGAAAAUUGUGGAUUAGAAGUGAGAUCGUUCAGCCCACUUAGGCCAAAGUUUUAUUAAGUCUGGUGGACUUAGUUGCUGAUGUUAGACAUAAAUGAGCUAGUAAACCUUACAAUAAGGUUAUUUCAUAACUUGGUGACUUGUAUUGAUGUUCUCAGAUUGUGACUUUUGUGCUAUGGUUAUGAUACUUCUUGUGGAAGUGAUAUUGGGCUUUUAGAGAUGAUAUCACCUCUAAAUAUGUUAUUUGGCUGAUAGAGAUGCUAUUUUCUCUUAGACUUGAUGAUUGGCCUAUAGAGUUUCUAUUUCCUUUAGUCGUGAUUAUUGGACUUAUAGAGACGAUGUUCCUCUUAGAUAUGUAAAUUGGCCUAGAGAAGUGACAUUCUUCGUAGUCAGGAUGUAUGACCUUUUGAUAUAUGAUAUCCCAUAGAUGAUUACAUGUCUAUAUAUAUUAUGCCUCCUAUAUGUGAGAUACCUAUUAUGUGAGAGAUGAUUACAUACUUAUUGAUAUUAUGCCUCCUAUAUGGAGAUGAUUAGAGAUAUACUACGGCUUAUAAAUAUGAUUAUUGAUAUGAUUCUCGGAUAUGUGUAUGGAUCUAAGGACGUGAUUAUGAUGUUGUGAAUAUUUUGAUAAUCUAAUGAGACAACGGUAGUGUUAUGAUAUUGAUUGAAUAGCUGAAAAAUAUUUAUCAUUAUAAGUAAUAUGAUUACAGUUUAUGAAUAUGAGUAUGUAUAAGUGUAUGUUUGUAUACAUAUCCACUACUAGAAAAGUGGGCUAUGGUAACGAUAGUUUAGGCAACGGUUAUAUAACCGUCACUAUAGACUAUCUAUGGUGAUGAUUAUAACCGUUGCAAUACGUAACCCUGUCUAAUAGGACAUAUAACUAAAAUAAUAGUCGCAUAUUUAUUGGAACCAUCCUAAUAAAUUGACCUAAAGUAACAAUUAGUAGAACUGUCGCUACAGGUCACCUAUAGCUACGAUUAAUAUUGUACAAAAACUACAAGGCCUCGUAUUUUUUCCUUUACAUAUUCAUUACACCCACUUAAAAUUAAGUAAUCACUUAAAAAAUAAAAGAGGAAUGAUAAAAGUUAAAGGUUAGGGUUAUUAGAAGCUAUUGUCUUUUGCUAAAAAGAAAAGCAACUAUCGUUUUGAUUUUCUUCUUCUUACAGCCUGGUUGGAUGGUGGUUUCCCAUGGUAUGGUAUGGUAUGCUUACCAUGGGAACCAUGUUUGUUUCCAUGAUUUUCUAAAAAUGGUGGUAUGGUAUGUUACUAUUCCAUGGUUUGAUAACCAUGGAAUGAAGCAAUUUAUUGAACCACCAAAUUGGUGGUGUGCCAUGGUUUUCAUUUUUCUUCUCCAAUAAUACCCUUAUAUAAUUUUCUUUAAUUCUAUUUUAUCCUUAUCAACAAAAUACAUGCUUAGACUACGCAUUUGUUAACAAGAUCGAAGAUUGCAAGACAUCCUGUUAGCAAUAUAAAAAUUCAAAGAGUGAGAAAAAUGAUCACAAUUAUUUAGUAGUAUUAGUUUUUAAUGUCAAUAAAAACUCAAUUCGAUAAAAGAAAAAUUGAAAAUUGAAAUGGAGGGAAACAGAGUGAAUGCAUAAAAACCAUAUACAUGGGAAGUGAUUUUGAACUCUAAGAUACAUACAUGUAUGACAAUUGUUUUAUUGAUUGGGAAGUACUUACCGAUUGCAUUAUUUUGCGUUCGUCAAACCUUUGUUUAGAAAAUACCUUUGUAAAUUUGGCAUCUUAAAAGAAUCAUCGGGUAGCUAUGAGAAGUAUCAAGAAAGAAAGGACAACUAGUUAUGCUAGCACUGAUAUGGAUAAUGGAUAAAAGAGUUGAUAUCUCAAAUGUAUUACAACUAGGGGCAUUUUAGUAAAUUUAUCUAUUACCAUACCGUACCAUACCAUCAAACCAAACAAAAAAUUUAUUAUUAAACCACAGGAAAUAAUACAGUCCAUCUAAACAUGUUACUAUACCAUACCAUACUAUACCAUACCAUACAUUAUGACACCAUGGCAAACCACCUGUUAGGGUUUCAUUCUCCCUUUUUUGCGGCUAAAAUUUGUAGCAGAAUUCAGCAAGAUUAAGAGUUCUCUUACAAUUAUUCUGGGAUAAGAUAUGUAAGUAACCCGUUUCUUUUUCACCUUUUUUCCUUUGUCUGACCUCUGGGAUAAAAUUGGAAGUUUAUGAUUGUUCGCGGAUAAAAUUAGAAGUAGAAUAAGAGGGUUCCCUUGGGAUUGUUCAGGGAUAUAGAGUUGUAAGUAACGAAAAUGGGAUUUAAGGUUCACUGAGUUAAUUUGUCACCCAAGUAGCGUUGUAAGUAACAAAAAUAGUGGAAAAACCUCUUUUCCGCCAUUUUAUGCAUAGAGUUAAGGUCUAUUUUCCCAAAAUAUUAUGUUGAUUUUGAUUUUAUAAUAUUUUUGGUGCUUUACAAUGUAAGGUGUUCCUCGAUCAACUUCUACAUUUCUUACUCGAUCGACUUCUACUUUUCAAAUAAAGUUUACUUUUUCAUUUAAAGGUGUUCUCAGGUAGGUGUUCUUACUGUGAAAGUAGUUAUUUUUGUGGGUUUUGUUUUGUAAAUCUUGACAUUGUUCUAUGUAAGAAUGAAUGGAUAUACUAUCUAUUUUUUUGAUAAUGUAUACACUUUAAUUCCUGAAUAUGAGAAAUUGCGUUGCUGUAUUUUUUCGGAAAAAAUUUGAUUGGAUUUUGUGGUAUGUAACUAUUAGAUGUCUGUAACAUUGAAAAACUUUGUUAAAACAUUGUGGUGAUUGGUACCGUGAUUAAAAUAAUCUAUGUUGAAAGUUCUUAGGGAUUUAUGUGUACUGCAUUAUACGAAGUUUGAAUUCACUACAUUGUAGUGGGAAGUUUACGAUGCAACCAAUAUACUUCAGAAUUCAAUUGAAUGACUACAACAAUGGCUGAGUAAUCUCGUUCCCUAGACAAAUAGACAUCUGCAGAGUGAGCUACUGACUAUAUAACAUCUUGUAUGACCAUUUGCUCAUCAGGAUAGAAAAAUUCACCUUUUUAUUUUAGCGUAGAACACGGAAGAUGACACAAACUAAAACAUGGAAAUUAAGCUUGUUUAUCACUUAAAUUAAAUGAAGAACCUAGUUCAGCAGUGUAUGACUGUUCUGGCUUAGGUUCUGUUGUAUCUUUCCUCUAACGUAGAUUCCAUUAUGGAUGCAAUAUGAUUUCUUGUUCGUUGUGUUGUGUGAUGUCUAUGAUUUCAGUUUGAUAGUUUUUAGUAUUAUCUUGUAGUUGUAGUAUUAUCUUGUGGCUAGCAGUGUUAGUUUAUUUUUAAUACUGUACUUGUUAUAUUAUUAUCGGUCCUAAAUCGGGGGUCUAUCGGAAACAACCUCUCUACUUCACCUGAGGUAGCGGUAUGAUUUGCGUACACUCUACCCUCCCGAAACCCCACUAUGUGGGAAUGCACUGGGUCUAUUGUUGUUGUUUGUUCUUUAUUAAAUAUAAGUUACACAAAUUAUUUCCCAUACCUAAUGAUACUUUUUGUAUGUUGAUACUGAAUUUAUUUAUUUUUUUCUUCGAUAUUUAAAAUGAGUAACAUGGGCUAUUUAAUUGGUGUGUGAUCCAUCUGGAGUGGUAGUGGAAACAACAAUCAUGGAACUUGUUACAGCUUUAGUAAACUGGGGCAAGGAAUUAGAUCAUUUGCUAUAAGUUUUAUUGUCUUAUGCUUUGGGUUCUGCUCAGGUAUUGAUUCUGCAUUUACUUAGUUCUCACAGAAGUAGUGACUUGCCAUAAACAUGGAUCUGAUACAUUGUCACUUUUCCCAGCAGUGUCAGCCUCUUUCAAGGGUUAAAGGUUCUAUUGAGUCACAUCUUCGUGCAUUAGGAUAGAGAGAAUGGUGGAACAUAGAUGUUCUGCUGUGCUUACUAAUAGAGUUGUUUCCAUUUGUGCGCAAGAAAGCUAUUGAUACCCAUCCAUUCCCAUUGGUUUCGGAUGAUGAAAGACUAGUCUUUUCUACUUCAGUGCUUGAAUAGUAUGCUGGGUAAAAUCCCUUUUACCAUUUCUUACUUACCUUUCUAUUCUUAUUCAAAGGUGAUCGCACGAUGUAUGGUUAAUACUGUUCUACUUCAGUGCUUAUGGUUAGUACUAUUCUACUUCAGUGCUUGAACAGUAUGCUGGACAAAAUCCCCUUUUACCGUUUCUUACUUACCUUUCUAUUCUUCUUCAAAAGUGAUCUUACAAUGUAUAGUUAAUACUUACUAUAUAUUUGAAUUGUCUAUGCAGAGGAAACAUGUAGUGGCCUUCUUUUGAGUGGUUGUAUAUAGAAUGCUUUUCAACAUUGAUUGAACUAGCCUCUGUAUUACCCCAGAAGGAAGAUAACCUAAGGAAUCAAAUUACAGUGGCAUCAUAAAUUGUUUCACUUAAGUUUUGGUGGUUAGGAUUGAAAAUUCCUCCUUCUUUCCAGAUUCAUCUUUAAUUUGCAUGGCAGUUUUUAUUGGCAGUUUCAGAUCUAUUGGGGGAACCUUGCCAGAAACACAUCAUGCUCCCAAAACAGCAGUAGUUGAAAGACCUGUGGCUAUUUUUGUCUUGCCUCUUCUGCUGGCAGGUGUUUUAGGAUCUCCUAGAAAGCAUGAACUACUGACAGAGUCUUGAGAAAUCUCUUAAUUCAAACUUCCGGACAAGAGAGUCAGACAGUGAAGCACGAGAUUUUCUGUUCUGUUUGCUUUCUUUGGUUUGUACUUCUUUAGUAAGGGCAUUGCAGUUUUGCAACUGAACUCUUUGAAUGAUGGCUGACUAUAUUUUUCUGCACCACUUUUGAUGAACAUCGCAAUCUAAUUUUUAACAUCCUCUGGGAAAUGGUUGUGAGUUUUGAUAUAAACAUGAAGGCAACAACUGCCAAUCUUUUCAAAAUCAUUGUAAGACUUUUUUUAUGUGG
rnacentral:lncRNA from 1 species